AAGGGAAGAAACUUAUGAAGUUCCUUGUUGAUUGCCCUCAGGGUCCAAUUUGUCUUAGAUUAUGUGACAUUUCAGCCUUGAUCAACGAUGAAGAUGUCCUGGUGCUUUUAUUUUGAAGAAGUUAUUGGGGAGUUCAGGGUAGAAAAUAUUGUGCACAUUGUCUCCCAUUCUGUGUCAGAAUGUAUGGCAGCUUGAUGGACAAGUGCCAAACAUCGUUUUGGACAGUUUGUGCAUCUCAUUGUAUCGAGAUGAUAUUGGAGAAGAUUGGAAUGAUGGGCACCACUGGGGAUGUAUUGGAUAAAGUGAAGACCAUUGCAAGGUUCAUCUACAGCCAUGCAAUGGUUCUGAACCUUAUGAGGAAUCAUACACUUGUUCAUGACCUUGUGAAACCCUCCAAGAGGAAGCCAGCAAUCCCAUUUUUGACUUUGCAAAAUAUGGUCCCAGAAAAAGGGAGGCUGGAGAACAUGUUUAUCUCAUCUGUGUGGAAGAAGUCACUCUGGGCUUCUAGAAGACAGGGGAAGUGGGUGGCUGAUAUAGUGGUGGAUCCCUCUUUCUGGAGUGGAGCUGAGAUGGCCCUAAAGCCAACUGUUCCUCUAGUGGGUGUUUUAUUGUUGAUUAUUGGUGGUGAUAAGGGACAAUGUGUUACAUAUAUGAAACAACGGAUUCAGUGAAGGAAGAUAUUGCAGAGGAAUUUGAAAAUAACAAAUCCCAAUACUUGCCCUUCUAGAAACUGAUUGAUGAUACUUGCUAUAAUCAUCUACAUAGUCUUCUCCAUGCUGCAGCUAAUCACUUGAGCCUGGGAAUCUUCUAUUCAAGGGACUACUGUUUUGAUGAGGAGGUGUUUGAAGGUAUUAACUGCUGAAUUGAAUGUAUGGUUCCUGAUGGGUGCAUCCAAAAUGAGAUAUGGUUACAACUUGAACAUUAUAAGGAUGUGGAUGGUGAUUUUGGGCUGGGGAGAGCCACAGAGAAGAAAUGGUCUUCAUCCAGGUUAGAAAAAUAUAUCCUAUUGAUUGUUCACAACUUCUGCUAUUUUGAAUCAUCCAUCAGUGAUAUUUUAUAUAUCAUAUUUACUUUUAAGAGGAAAUUUUCUAAUUUAUGUUCCCUGUCUAUUUAUCUUAUCUUAUCUGCAGCCUUGUUGUGGUCCGACUGUGGAGUACAUUGUCCUGAGUUACAAAAAUUGGCCACUCAGAUUCUGAGCCAGACAUGCUAUGGUUCUUUGAGAUACAAGCCCAAGAGGGGUUUGGAUGAGAAUCUACUCACAAAAGGAAGGAACUCGGCAGAACAAGAGCAAUUGUAUGAUCCCAUGUUUGUGCAUUACAAUUUGCACUUGUGGGAUUCUGAUUGGAGCACAGACAGUGACAUUGGGUUUGAGGAGACUAACCAAUGAAUGAAUGGAUGGUGGGGGAAGGAGCGUCCAUUUCUAAAGCAAAUCUGGGGUCCAGGUAUGAUAAGCACAAAUAAUAAUAAAAAGUUGAGUUAGGAAGCCAUGUAUUUUCCUUGAUGAAACACCUUUCUCUUUUGACAAAUAAAUUUGAUCGGAUGUUAUUUACGUCAAAUUGGACCUUCAAAUUUCUCUAGUUCAAGGAAAUAGUAUUUAGUGCAGGUGCUUUAAUUUCCUUCCAGUUCCAUGACUGGAAAGGAGGAAGUUGCUUCUAUGUUCUCUGACCUCUGUUACAUAUCAUAUGUUUUUCAUGUGGCUUGCAACUAGAAAUGAUUGCAUAGAUGGAAUCAACAUGAUAGCAAACUAGGAUAGUCUGAUUAUUCUUUCAAUAGCAAUUUUUUAUAUUUUUUAUAAACCUAUAUUUGAGUUCAUAUUAGAUAAUGGAAAUAAUGAAGGAAAAAAGCUUUAAGAACUAUAUGUUAUUUUUACUCAUUGGUAUUUGUAUGCUAUAGCACCUAUUUGUGUAUAGUAGCCAUUACCUAGUCAAUUUCGCUGCAUAAUGGGUAAAAUUGGUGAUCUGUUGGGAGUUUUGUCUUGAUUUCUUAGCAUGUUCCCCAAUCACCUGAAAAGUUUCCCUUAUGUCUCCAUAACCCUUCAGGCUUGUGCUUUCUUCUUAAGAUUCCAUAUCUAUUGUCACACAACUGAGAGGAACAUUAUGAGGUUAGCCACCUGUUCAAUUUCCCAUUAAUUCGGCAUUCAGUGUGUAGUCCCACUAGUCUGACAAUUGUAAGUGAAUUAUAUUAAAGUGCUUAUUGUAAAGCAUUCUGAAAGCAAACUAAUUUUUGUAGAAUAUAUUGUUUGUGUUAGUUCUAAAUCGAUUUGGAAGUAAACUGUUUACUAUUUAUUUGUGAUUCAAGUUAGUGAAAAUAAGAUAUGCAUGAUAAUUUAAUUUUAUUCUGUAUAAGAAAAAAAGGCCUCUAUCUGUUGAUGAAGCCAUUUACUUAAAAUGAAUGGAUGCAUAUUAAUGAAUAUGACACUAUUAAUAUUAUGAUAUCUCCCAAAAUUUUAAUUCUUGUCCUGUACUUGAUGCCUUUAACUGUAUAUUUUUGUACUUUUUGAGUCUUUGAGCUCACUCUUUCCAUUGUUCCACAUUUCAGGUGUAUACGAUGUCAGCUAGGAGGGAUCAUGAUAAGAUGGAUGCUCCUACUAAGACUGACUUUUUGGUUGAUGGUUUAGGAUUCCACUUGUUUAGUAUUAUUCAUUUGGGUUGUAGUAUUGGAUAAGUGUUAUUACUUGAAAUGUUGUCUUUGUUUAAUUCAUUAUAUUUAGUAUUUAUACUGGAAACUUAAAUGACUUUGGUUUUUUAUUUAGCAUGCUUUGUCUAUUGCUACCCUUAGCAGGGACUAGUAGUAAGCAUAUCAGCUUGUUAUCUUCAUUUGGAGGUCUUUCACAGUGAGUGUAGCAGCUUGUUAUCAUCGUUUGGAGGUCUUUCACUGUGAGGCUCCACACCUGAUAAGUGAAAUGACCUUGGUAUACAUGGCCUCUGGUUUGAGCUGUCACAUGUAUCCUAGUGGAGCUCAUAAUAACCUCACUUAUGGCCUUAUGUGGUUGGCUGGAAUGGUCAGGUGGAAUGGAGAUCUCAUUAAUUUUGCUUCCACUCUGAAAAAUUUAUCAAAAUGGCCUAGAUUGAGAAUUGAAAUCUGCUCUUCCCUGUGGGAAUAACCCACAUUCAAAUCAGCUUCUUUUUCCCUACAGCCCUUUCUAUUACAGUAUUCUCAUUUCUAUUCCAACUGAUAUUGAAAAAAAGAAAAUAAAGGAAGCCAGCGCAAGUUUUGUAACUGCCCUCCUAAUCAUUCAUUCUCCUGCACAAACCAUAAAGACAUACCCAUCUCUCAUCAGGUGACCUCUUGGUUCUGUACCCUCCAUGCUCUCUCUUGUCACAUUGAUGACUCUCUCUCUCUUUGGUUGAUUGGGUUGGGAUUUGAUUUUUAAAUAUCUACUUGUCACUGAGAAGAUUUAUUGCUUAGUGGGUAUGGGUUCAUUUUUUUUUUCCACUUAUUUCUGUAUUUUCUUGAUCUUGUGAUCUAUUUUUAUUAAUCUUAGGUAUUAUUGAUGCGAUCGACUCAAUUCUAGUUUACUUCUUGUUCUGAAACUUGGUACUAGGGCUUUAGACCAUAUCUUUCCGCCUUCUACCCAGUGGCAGCUCACUGUCUAUAUGACACCAUUGCUGUAAUGCUGUUGAGACCUUUAUCUGUUUGCUUAUUUUGGUCUCUGUGUUGUAUGUGUUUUAAGAUAAUCGAGUCCACUCAGCUCUAACUCUACAUUGACUAGGUCUUUCAUCUUCUUCUUAUUACGAUUCUGACAGUCAGAACAAUCUCUGAAAGCAUCAAAUAGUGGUCUUGGAUAUGUUUUAUCUGUCUUUUUUCUGAUGUGCAUUGGCAUUGAUUGAAAUGUGCAGCUGUUAUCUAUCACUGUGUCACUUUCCUUUUGUAUUCCCACUAUGUUUGCCUCGUCUAUGAUUCCUUGUGGUGGUCAAAUGCGGGUUUAAUUCCAUCAAGGUUGAAGUUUUCAUUAUUAGAAUUUGUUAGUCUGAAUUCUGGUUUUACUGCAAAUGCUAUGGGGUUAUUAGUAAAAGCCACAAGAAGACAAUUUCUCUUACAUUUGUGGAGAAAAUAUUUUUGGGCCUAGAUUUUAGUUGUUUUUUCAAGCUAUGGAAAAGGCAUGUAUGAGCUCAUAGCAAGUAAUCUACUUGACAGUUUGUCACUUAAACCAUGAGGUUUUUGCUUCAAGUGUUUUGAGUAUCUAUUUCCUAUCCAAACAUGUCCUUGAUGAUGCCAUGCCCGCCAUUUCAGCUGGCAAUGUCUACUGAUGUUAAACUUGCUCUGUGCAGCCUGUUCUGGAACUUUUUUUUUUUUUUUUUCAGCUAUUGGUAUAAUUUCAGAUCAGUUUGAAACGAAGCAACAGGAGGCCCACUUUCAAUUUGGACUCGCUGUAAGAUCUAACUAUUCAAUUGUCCAACGGCAACAGAUCUCUUUCCAUGUAAGUUGUUAUGGAUAUUUGGAAAGUAUUAUUUGGUUGCUAAUUCAUGGACAUCUGUUUCAAGGGCAUGUUAGAAAAUGAGGAAAUUUCGACGAGUUGCAUUAUAAUUUGGUGUGGUAGCAUACACCAUAUCAUUUGGUAUUUCAAUUCCAUCUUGCUGGAUUUGAUGAAGUUAGAAUUUGGCAUUGUUAUCUUUGGUUGCUAUUUUAUGAGAUUUAUUUCUUUCUGGAUAUAUUAGAUUUGAUAUCUUGGUUGCUGGUUUCCGUAUUUGCUCAAUUUUGUAGCUAAUCUUGGGUCUUGUCAAUGCAUUUCAGUUAAUUCUAAUGUUUUUCUUUUUUAACUCUUAAUUCCUUUUUCUAUAAUUUAUGCUGCUUCCUUGCUUAUUUUCGGUUUUCUUUUCCAGUUACAUUGAGUAGAACCUUAUUUAUUUGCACUGGGCUAGAAACUAAUAGGGGAGAGUACUAAGCAAUGAUGCUAGUGUGGACCUACGGUUUUAAUGUGUCCUCACUUGAUGACAAGACUCGGUCUCAAUGAAAAAUUUAUUUUUGAAAACUGAUUUGUUGGAGUUGUUAUUUUAUUUUGUUUUAAAAGGGAAAAUAAAUAUAAGAGUGACUCUUUGAAUGGGUAAGACAAGUCCACAAGCCAAGACAUCUAAGAUGGUCUGAUCUAUUGUUGGAAAUGCUUGGCCAUGUGGGCAACGCCAUUAGGAUCAGAAGAUGGCGAGUAGUAGUCAGACAUCUUUCAUGGCUCAAGUUGAUCAUAAGGGAGUGACCUCCCUUUGUGUCUGAAAAUAUAAGGCUUUGUUUGGAUUGGCUUUUGAAGGCUGAAGACUAUUCUUUAAGCCCCAAAAGGGAGCUUCUUCUUGUGUUUGGGUAAUUUGAUUAAAAAACCUUUUGGGUUAAAGAAGAGCUUAACAUGAGAUUAGAUUUAAAAAGUUACUUCUUGAGGAAAAUUAUGAUUUCAACUUCUGCUUCCCAAACGAGAACUAGAUUGAUCUCUUCCUUAUUUUCUCAAUUUAGAGAUGAUGGAGUAUCAAUAUUAUCUGCCCUAGCUACGGUUUCUUUAAUGUUAUUGCUUGUUGGAAAGCAUUGAACUGAUAUGGUAGUUUCUAAUUUUCCUUUGUUUUGUUUUUCGAUCUUUAAUAUCAGGUUCUGGGCUAUGAGAAGUUCUCCAGGAACUGGAGCUGGAGCACCAAGCACCGGGCUUUGUGUUUUGUGGAAAGACACUAUCAACAAGUUUUGCAGGAACCACCAAAACCAUCAAGAUUUCUCCAACUUCUGAGUAUACUUCAUGCAUUUCCCAUAUCAUCGAUGAUUCGCGUGUUACAUAUCUUGAUCUUACACAGAGAUUCAAAACACACAGCUACUCAGGAGUGGAUUCUAUGAUCUGGGUCUAACCAGGAGGGGCUACAAUCUCAGUUUUUGGUGGUGGGUUGGUGGAUUGCAUGAGGUUGGUGCCAGAGCCACCUACCAUAACCCCAUUCAGAGAAAUGCCUGGGUAAUGGAAACUCUUGUAUUAGUGAAAAAAAAUGCCUCCAUUUCUGGAGUGUGGAUGCAUUUAUGUGGGCAAACAGCACACAGGUCAUGUACCAUUCAAAGGCCUUCUCAUGUUUCAUUUUCCUGCCUCAACUCUUAUUUCAGUUUUCAGUAAUGGAAGAGAAUGGAGCUGGACCACUUCAUUAUUUUUCCCUCUUGUUGCUCCCAAGUGUGUUGAAUUGCAUUCACUCAGUGUACUAGGAGCUCCUUCAGCAGUGUCCUCCACCAUUAAAUGACAAAAAGAAAACCCAUCAUCAUAGAUUCAUAGGCCACCGACUCCACCAUAUUUGCUGAGAAUGAUGACAAAUGCAGAAGAAAUCACCCAGAGGUGAAUUAUGCUAAUCUUUCAAACAGAACUGAAAUGAAAGCCUUUGUUUUUUGUUGGCAAGUUCAAAGGGUGGAUAAUGGAUUAUAUGAUUAUGAAUUCAAAUAUUAUAUGAUUAUAGAUUAUGGGGUUGUAAUUAUGAAUUCAAAUAUUAUAUGAUUAAGACAUUAGAAAAAAAAUCAUAUCAAUAAGAAGUGAGUAGGGCAAUGUGAAAAAAAAGAUAAAAAAAUGUACUACAUGUUAAUUUUUUAAAAAAGUUCUUCCAUAGCUUUAAAUGCGCAAAAUUUAAUUUUCAUUGGAUAGAAGUCAACAUUUUUCUUUUUAAAAAAUCUUUGACUGUAAGUAAAAUGUCAUCUGGGGUUAAACUAAACAAGUGUCGUAAUUGGAGCAAUAAAUGAAGUUGACAUGGACCACCCUUCCCUUAGAAGUCUGCCCACCAACAAAUUAAUGUGAAAUGAUGUUUGUAUAUUUACUUCAUAGAUUAUACAUUUUCGUGAAGAGUCAAGAGUAUGAAAUGCUACUGCCCCUCCAUCUAUCUUUUCCCGUGUUACUAAUCUUCCUCUCCAAUGUGGGUUGAGCACGAGAUGAAGAAACCUAAGAGAAGAUGCUCUUAUCCUAGAUUUUUUUUUUUUUUUUUUUUUUUUUUUUUGCAAUGUAGGAAAACACUUUUUUCCUUUGUAAUAAUAAGAAAAUCGAAUUCUGGGUCAAAAUGGUCUGUUUGAACAAAAGAAUAUAGUUUUUGGGCCCCUUUUGAAACUUAUGUUUAGUGUGGCCUCUUUACAACCACAUGAGUGCUAAAUCAUUCUCAGUUCCAAAAUUUUCAAAUUACUUUCCCAAAUCACUAUCCCAACCAUUGGAAUAUUGUUGUUAUUUUUUUCUUAAUAUCCGAUUUAAGGAUUUUUGAACACAAGCCUCAAGACCAUGAAUUCAACCUACCACCCAUCAUGAGGGUUUUUAUAAGGCUAGAGCCAAUUGAUUAGAACUUGUUGUGAGCCUAAAUGACUCUAAGGUCAACUUCUUAGGCACCAACUACUCCAGCAAAGCCGCAUCGACUUAGGUUUGAACAUAUAUGUUGGGAUCUUAUGGAAUCAAUACCGAUAUUUUUUUUAUUUAAAAAAAAAGUGAUAUUUAGGGUUAAAAUACUAACCUUUAGAUUUUGAUAUUCCAAAACAUUGAAUCCAAGUGUUAAAGAAUCAAAUCAAUGUCGUUAGAAGUCUCAUAAACCUAAAAUCUUUCACCCAAUAACUCUUCUUUGAUCUUGACACACUUUUGGUGGGGGAGGGAAGAGAAGAUGGAGGCUAUGACUCUCUUUCUAGAGGUGGAACACAACUUUAUGAAAAAAUUAUGGAAACCUUAACCCUUAAAGGGGCAUUUAUAGGGUUCCCCAAUAACCUUAAGUGACUUGAUAUUACAAGUACAAGUAUGCACAUAUAUUACACAUUUAACACUAUUUUUGUCAUCAUAACUUGCAUUUAUAUAUGUUGAAUAUGGUGAACUGUAAUUUUAUUUUCCUUUUUGAAUAAGAUUUCACUUUUUAUUUGCAAGAUAUAAUUUUUGCAAUGAACAUUAAUCGAAGGUUUGUUUUCAAUUGAAAUAGUAUUCACUUGUUUCAUUCUUAAUCCUUGACAGCUCCUAAUAAUCUAACAUCCAUUGAUUCAACAUAGAAGCGGAAGAGAACCUACAAAAUCUCCUAUAGCAUCCAAUUGACCAAAGAAGCACAAGUGGAAUGUAUUGAAAUAAGGGGAAAAAAAAAUUUGAAGUGUAUAAAUUAUUUUUGUGUACUAUCUUAAAUAUAUUUUACUCAUUUGAAUUUUUUAUAUAAAAAGAUCAAAUUAUUUAAAAAUAUAUAAAUUUUAAUUAUAUGUGAUUUGUUUUUGUAGUAUUUUCUUAGAAUGUAUCAAACACAACACUAGUUUCUAUUAGCUCCAUGACCUUGGAAAAGAGACCCACUCUAAUAAUAUUAUGAAAUGAGUUUUAGGAAGUGGACUGAGUCUUUUUUUAAGAUUAUCUAAUACAUUUUGAAAAUAAUAAUAUUGGCCAUGGGAGAGAUUACACAUGGGUCAUUCUAGUAGAUUGCUUCCACUUGUGCCAGUACCUGUUGAUGAGUGUCUCCUUUGAUAUUGUUGAGUGACAUCGUCUUGAGUGUGUUGUGAUAGUUUGGACUCAUGUAGGAUUUUCCACUAACACCUUCCAUAGAUAUUAACUUUCACUUCAUAGAUUGACAUGGUCGAGACUAGCAUUAUUAAAGGUUGCAUUAUGAGUACUAUGUGGCAUUAUGAGAUGCUAAGGGGACCAUAUUAUCGCUAUUAAGCCUAUAGUGUCUCAUAUGGACUACCAUGCUUUGUACAUGACAUGUUAUCGUCGUAUUACAUGUCACUUUAUUACACCUAUAGAUGAUGUUGGACCUAUGCGAUACCAGACUACUGUUUUUAUUUGCCAAUUUAUUGGUUUGUACUACUUUAAUAUUAUUUACAUAUUGCAUAUAAUAUUUAUUCUAACAAAUAAUUACAUAUCAUUUUAUGUGAUAGAUUGAUACUAUGACAUUGAUCAUAUCUCGAGGAUGUCAUGCAUUAGAGGACUCUAAUAGUGAUGUUGUUGGCAUUGAUAUUGCUAAUAUUAUUCGCAUGAACAUUAAUGUUAUGCAAAUUAUUAGAGAGAAUUAUCGUCUCCCAUAUGGCAUUGAUAUUGUUGAUAUUAUUCGCAUGAACACUAAUGUUAUGCAAAUUAUCAGAGGGAAUUAUCGUCUCCCAUAUGUACAAUAUGGAGGAGGUAGGGCACCAAAACAGUUGAUAGUUGCUCGAUUGCCACCUAUUCGAGGUCGAUGGACAUCUCGAGUGGGAGGUAGAUAUAUUAGUUGUUAAGCUAUCUCGUCGUCGAUGUUAGCAUCAUUACAACCCCUUACCUUUUUAUACCCACAAUCAGUAUAAUUAUCUAACUAUUCUAAUCCAAUAUUAGUACAAUUCUCUACCUCUUUAGAACCCCUAUUAGUAUCUACUAUCUUUUCAAAUCCACUAUUAGUACUUGCUACCCUAUAUGUUGAUCCCCUUUCAUUGCACCUUGAUGCUUCCUUAACUACUCUACUAGGAUAUGAGUUUAGAACAUCAAUCGUACCCCCAACACAAAUAUCUACACCAUCUACUCUACCACCACCAAAGUCAUCUAUAUUUGUACCUGUACUUGUCGAGACUAUCACAUCUACUAAGCUAGAUUUAACCCAAACCAUUUCGAGAGAUAGGUGUUGUCCACGUCAACCUAGAUUGCAACCUCCACCGCCUCUAUUUCUAACUUCCAUAGAUAUAUAUUCAUCACAUGUUACAUGUCACAUGUAGAAUUGGUGCUUGCUUUAGUUAGAGAGGGGUGACGAAAAAGGAAGAGAGUACUGAUUAUACAUAGGUUUUCUUCCUAUGAAGGCAUAUGAAAUUAUUUACUUUUUUUUUUCCACUAUAUAAAUGUUUAGUAGAUAUUUUUUGUGAUUUUGAUGAAACUGAUAAAAAUUACAUUUUGUUGUAAUUUUUUUUUCAAAUUAAUUUCAUUAAUUGAUUUUAAAAUGUAUCUUCUAGACGUAUAUAUUAUGUACAAAUAAUAGUUUUUUUUACGUGAAAUUAUAAACAUAUGCUUUAUAAUAAUAAAAAAUCUAUAUAUGAAAACAUAAGAGUAGAGUAUUAUUCAAUAAAGAUAAAUUUGUAAAAAUAUUAAUAAAUUAAUAUUUAAUUUAUCAAUAAAUUAAAUAUCUUAAAUUAAUAUGAAUAAGUAGGAUAAAACAAAAAAAUUAUUAAAAAACAUGCAAAAGCGUGAAAUUAAAAAGUUCAAGGUGUGGAAUUCAAUAGAGCAAACAUUUCAAAAAUGAAACCACAUUUGCACUUCUAACUUCAGAUAUUUACAUUUUUUAUCAUUUAUUUUUAAUUUUAUCUUAUUUAUAUCUCAUAUAACUUAACUUUAUUAUUUCAAGAUUGUUAAUUUAUUGAUAAAUAAAUUACUAAUUUACUAUUAUUUUUAUAAAUUUGUCUUUAUUGAUGUAAUAUUAGAUGCUUAAGUUUAAAUAUAUUUAUUUUUUAUUAUUAAAGUAUAUAUUUUUAAUUUCAACAUUAAUUUUUUAAAAAGUUCAACAUUAAAGCUAUAUUUGACAAUUGAGGCUUCACUUUAAAACUGAAAUCGCAUUUGCCAAUUAAGACUUUUGUUAAAGAACGAAUUUGUAUUUGACAAUUGAGGUUUCGUUAAAAAAUGAAAUCGCAUUUCGCUAUUGUGGUUUCGCAUUUGACUAUUAUGACUUUAGUUAAAAUAUUAAGUCGUAUUUAACGAUUGUAGUUUCAACUUAAAUUUAUAAAAAGAGAAAAAAAUUAAUGAUAUGACUCCUUUUUGGUAAUAAAUGAUAAUUUUUAACAUAAGUUUACAAAAAUAGCUAAAGUUAAUUUUUUUUGCAAGCCUAUUUUGACCCAAAACUCCGUAUAAGGAAUAUAUGGUAUAAAAUAUAUUUUAUAUAAAAAAUAAUUGCUUAUUAUUGAAGAUACAUAAUAAUAUAAAUGUGUUUACAAAGAAUAUACUUUGUAUAUUAUUAAAUAUGUUUUAAUAUUUGGUAUAUUAAUAGAGAGGAAUUUUAGUUAAAAAAAAAUAGAAAACAUAUCAUAUUAUAUGUCAGAUAGUUUGAUAAAUAAUUUGAGAAAGGGCAAAGACUGUGAAAAAAAAAAGGGGGGGCGGAGGGAGAAAGAACCUUUCUGACAUUGAUGAGCUGUUUUACACAUUGGUGGUGUCGUCUUGGAGCCGUCAGCCACGAUGGCACAUUGGCUUUUGGUCUAAUAUAUAUAGAAUAUUUUUUGAAUUAAAAGGAAUUGAAAGUAAGGUGGGUGAGAAGACAAAAAAGAGUGGGUAUAUAUAACCAGUCUUAUUCAAAAAUUGAUAAUUCAUUUAUGUAUUUGGGAUAUAUAUGAAUGGGAUAGUUGUUUCAAUGAUGUUUAAGACUAAAUCAAAGAGGCUUGAAGCAAUUAUGUGAUUGUAAUUUCAGCAGAAAGGACCCUCAUGGUCAAUGCAGCUGCAGUGGUGGUUGAAUCUUAACACUCAGCUCUCUCUCUCUUUGAGAUAUUUUUCUUGAUUGAUAGACUGAAAAUGAAAGCAGACUCAGACGCUGCCUCUGAACCCAUCUUCAUUAUCUAACAACUGUACAUUCUAGAUCCUGCAUUUAGUGCUUCCAUUGUAAGAUAAAAGAGAAAAAGCAAGAAUUUGUUAUUCUUGAUUUUGGGUUUCCUAAUUUUGACUUGUGGGGUUUGGAUUAUGGAGAAAGAGACAGCAUGGUAUUCAGGCAAAUGGGUUCUCAAAAUUUGAAAUCUUCAACCAUAAAAGAAUGGAGUUUUGUGGGUUGUCUUACUAUAUAAUAUAGCAAAAAGCAUCCCUUGUAUACUCACUAAGCUCUGUGCAUUAGCAGACAAAACAAUCUGCCACCAUAUGCACAUAUGCUUUGUUUUUCUUCUUUUUCAAAAUCAAACAAUAUUAUAUUUGGUGCUAUUUCAGUGCCACUCAGCCCAUUAUUUUGGAAGUUGUUUUAGAUUUUUCUCUAUUUUUUGAUUUAAAUCUUUCUGUAUUUCAAAUCUCUGUUGCCAAGUCUCUGACUUUCAACUGGGGUUUUGUUUUUUCCUCUUUCUUUAUUAUUAAGAAUUUGAAUUCUGCAGACAGAAACUGAGGGAAAUGGACGGUUCAAUGCUCGAUACUUGUUGUUUUUUUCAAAAAACAAAUCUUAUAUUAUAUUUUAAUUUUGAAAUGGUAUCUGCACAAGCAUUCAAAAAAGCAUCUUGCUCGUCCGCCAAGGCUUUUUUCCAUGAAUGUUCUAAGUUCUAACUUCUAACACAGGUUUCUUUUUUAUAUCUCUUUGAUUUAUUCGCGUUUGGGUUGUUUGAGGAUUUGGGGAUGGAAAAUUAGGAGACAUUCAUUGCUUGAGAUUGAUGGGUCUGUGUAAAAUUUGAGAGAGAAUUUGGGGACCACCACUUCUUCUUUACAUACAAAAACCAAAAUGCAUUUUUUUAGGUUACUUGUUCUUUUUCUUUUCACUCUCAAGCUCAGUUUACCUUUUCUCAAGAACCAGAAAUCUGGAGAUGGGCUGUUGUUGUAAGAGUGGAAGUUUACUAGGUAGGCCAUCUAUGUCCUAUUUCCCAUUUAUCCAUCUCAUACCCACAUGCCCAUCUACUUUUGUCUUCUUUGAGGGCUUUUCUCUGCAUUUCCUUUAUCAUCAUUGCUGGUUUUUUUCCCCUUUUCUUUUCACACAAUCAUUUCUUCAUGAACUUCAGUAUUUGUUGCACCCAAGAAUUUUUUAAAGUAAAUGUGUGACUAGUUCAUCAAAGCUCAGGCAUAUGCUCCAAUGCUUGAACUUUUGGGUUUUGUUGCUUCUGUCUUGAAAUCCCCCUAAUGCAAAUUGUCUUAAUUACAGUUGGAUGGUUAUGUUUGAAAAUGACCGGUAGCUGUGUCUUCAUGAGUUUCUUUGUCCUUAUUAGCCUUCACAGGUGUCACAGUGCUUUUUCCAUGAAAUCUACACCUCAUCAUGCCCUGUAUUUCAAGUUAUUAUGCUUUGUAGAUUCCACUGUUUAAUUUGCAUAUCGACGAAUUUGAAUACCCAACUUCAUCAGGAUCUUCUUAACACUAGUCUGGUUUUUUUUGUGUUGUUCAAAUUCAUGUUUAUGCUCAUCUCAUGCUGCAUCAAUCCGGAAAAACAAGUAUAGUUGUUUCAGAAAUUGCUGGGUAUGGUUAAUGAUUUCAAGAUGUGUGACUCAGUUGUUGUGCAAUCUGCCUCAGACCGGUAUGGGUACAUCCUGUUAUUGUUCUUGGUUUUCUGUUCCUUUUUAAUUGGCUGUCAUUUUGUUUUUCUAAUGGAAUUUUCUACAGAAAUGAUUCCAGCAACAAAUGUUCACCUUCUGGUGCGAGUUAUUGUAGUUCAGCAACUCUCUAUGAUUUUGAGGGCAAUUUUCAGAACAAUCACUCCUCCUUCGAGGUCUGUGGUUGUCGACAUGCAUUCCCCUGUUAAUUUUGUGUUUCAGUAGUCUAAUUUACAAAAUUGAAGGAAACAUGUUUGGGAUGAAAUGACUUUUUCUAUUUGUACCUUCUUCUUCAUCUUUUUUCUUUUGUACUUCCUUCACCUGGAAGCUUCACACAAUUUUUGAAGCCAGUUAGUCUGUUCUUUUAUUUUAUUGUCUCUUUUUUAUUUUUUGUUUUUUGUUUUUAUCUUUAUAGAAUUUUAGCUUCAAUUAUACAGCACUAAAACACACAGACAGAGUUGUGUUGGUAGUUAUUGAUAAGGCAUAGUUAUUACAUAGGCCUGAAAAGCAAUAUCUUAAGCUUUAAUAAAUAGGGGAAAAGGGUUUUGGUUUUUAUUUAUGAGGCUUAUUUAUAUCUGAAUUCCAUCUAAUUUCUCAUUGUCUGUGAUCCAAGCAUUUGACCUAACUCAGUGGCAGAAGACUUGCAAUUAAGUAGUUCAAAAAUGAUUUCAAACUUCCUUUGCCAUAUUCACUAGUCAUAUGCUCCCAUCCUUAGGUUUUUGGGUUUAAUUAUUUCUUUGAACUUCAGGUGAGCAAUAUUGGUGAAGAAGCUGAGAGACUCGGCUCAAGCAAUAAACAGAAUGGUGCUUGUCCUUAUAGGUUCCAACUUGAACAGGAUGUAAGAUUCUCUCCAUUUUAGACGCCCCAUUAUAAGAUAUUGUGUCAGUUGCUAUUUACUUUGCAUUUGCAGGAUGGUGAACUGAAGUUCUGGAGUGUUGGAUGCUAUGAAAUGAUUAUGCUACGUGGUCAUGGUUAUGGCCUUAACAUGCAGUAAAUUGAUUGUGAUCUAUCACAUGUACGCGGGCUAUACUUGUUGGUUUUAGAUUCGUCCUAGGUAUCACAUUUGUCAAACCAAAUUUCUUAGUACAUGGAAACAUGGAUGAAUUAUAAAGCAUAAAGAUUUAUUUUUUAGUGUCAGUGUUGUCAAACCAAAAUUUUUUCAGUUGAAAUGAACACUUGUUUGUCUUAUUGUUGUCUUUAAUUGUCAGAAGAGUAAAUGUUCCUUUUAUUUUUUUUUAAUUUUUUUUAUGGAGGGAGAGAGAGAGAGACUCUCACUGUUUGCUGGAGGUGUUGUAUUUGAAUUGGUAAAAUAUUAGAUGGUUUUCAUAUUAAAAUAGAUUGUGAUCAUCUUCACUUGGUUUUUAGAUGUCGUAAAAUUAUUGAUUUGCUUUAAGCAAACUUCAUAUUAGUUUCAUACCUUGUUUUAUCUAAAUAAAGUUCAGGAGUAUUAUUAAAGAUUUCUGUUGAAUGAGUUGGUUGCUUUUUUCUAACAGAAGUCCCCUUUUUAUAGGUAGAAAGAUUACAGAGGCAACUUCAAGAAGAGAUGGAACUCCAUGCUAUUCUGGAAAAUGCAAUUGAGAAAAACACUGGAGAAUUAUCUAGUUCAUCAUGCCUCCCUCACAAUGUAUGUCAAUAUUUCAAUCAUCCUUUGUAAUUAAGUGCUUGAAUUGCUUAUGAGAGAUGAUGUAAUGUCUAUCAGAAGUGUCUCUAAAAACCACCCUAAGACUAUAUUUCACCUUAUCCUAAUAUAUCAAAGUAUAUCAGAUUAUGUCAGGCCUAAUAUAUUCUUUCAGCAUGCUGAUUUGGAAAGAUAGAGCAGAACACCAAAAGAAGAAUUCAUGUAACUGACUCGAGGUAGUUGGAAUUUAAGGCUUUUGCUCGGUUCAGUUAGUUGGUUCUGAGCUAGUUGAUAUCUAAGUCCAGUAAUCAAAGACUUGAAUAAUCCUUUGGUGUUUCUUUUUUCUCCUUUGUAGUUAUAUUAAGGACUCAUCCCUUCUGAACAAAAGGAGCCCUCACUGGUAAUCGGUAUUAAUGUCACCAUCACUGCCUUUCCUACCUCUCUCAACCCCAGCACAGUCACCAGAUUUGCAGAAUCUCCAUGACAAAUUAUUGUGAUCACCAUCUAAUGUAGUUCAAUCACUGCAACGUCCAAGCAUAUGGUUUGCUAUCAGAAAACCAAAGCAACAGCCAACUCCAUCAUCUCCACAAUUUUGUCAUUACACUACAUUCAACAACCACUAAUUCAUCAUCUCAUCAGCAAAGCCAGCCAACAUAACUGCCAGCAUCCACUGAUCCACCUGUGUGUUCAUCAAAUCCAACGUCACCUCUAAAUUACAUCACUUUUCAGUCUCCACCACUAAAAAUUAGGAGCUCUACAUUUUUAAAUUUGAUUAAUCAAGCUACCUUGCUCUGAAUUCCUUGUUUCCACCUUAUUUUAGAUAGUUGAGUUAAGCAUAUUUAAAUCCCUUCUACUCUAGUAAAAGGCUAGUAGGAGCACUGGCGGAGCCAUGUUUUAUGCAUAAUAGGUGAUUUGAACCCCUAACCAAAAGGUUCAUUGAUUCCCAUUGAGCAAACACAGAGCAGCCUUGUAUUUUUUUUGACCCCAUGAAAUAAAGCCUUUAGCCUUGCCCUCCCGCCCACAAAAUGAGCUCCUUUCUUCAUUGUCAAUGUAGUACAAACAUGAGUAGAACUAUAGGCUUUGCAGUAUUGAAUGAGAAUAAAGUCAAAGGAACUGAAUUUGUUCGAAACCCCUUUUCCACUUAAAAAAAAAUCAGUUUCCUUUUUUGAAAAGUUUCUAUUCCAUUAUUCGAGUCUGGCAGUGAGAAUGACAAGUUGCAAUUUUGAUUUGCUAUGGAAAUCAAUUGCUAAUUUUUUUGGGAUGUUAUUUUCAUUAACCAAUUGAUGCAACUACCAGACUCAGAUGCCAAUGAUUGGGUGAUUAGAUUUUAUUUAUUUAUUUUUUAUUUUUUUUAUAUUUUAAUAUGAGAACAACUAGAAUCAAUAAAUUUUAGACCAUAAUGACCUCUGGUUGGAUUCCUUUUUGUUCCAAAUCCUUUUUUGAAAAGAAGUUAUUUCUUAUUAUAAUUUUCAUCAUUCCCAAACAAUCUAAAAUUAGGAAGAAAAGCCUUCUUUACUGUAACAGCUUUUAGAAUGUAAAUGCUUACUUUUAAACUAGGGAUCUUGUGUCGAAUUCAUUGAGUUGUCUGUUAACUAAUAUCCCAUGUUUUUAUUGACCAUUCCCGUCUCAAUCAUUGAAUUGUGGUUGCAGAUUAAAUAAUAUUCUUUUAUGUUGGGCAUUCCCUUUUUAAUCAUGUCCGAGGUUUAAAAUGGGUUUUAAAUAAUGAUAAAAUUAUUUUCGCCUGAUCUCUGCUCAGGCUCAGGUGCUCUUGGCUAAUAUUUCAGUAUUGGAGCUCACAGUUUCAAAACUUGAGCAAGAGAUGGUGUCUUUGCAUUUUAAGCUUAGUCAAGAAAGAAAUGAACGAAGACUUGCAGAAUACCGAAUGCGACAUUCAUCUUCUUUUUCAUUAUCGCGUUGCUCCCCUGACAACAUGAAAGCAUCCGUAUGUAAUCUUAACUCUUUCAUAAAUUAUUCUUGACAAUAUAGAAAGUUUAUAUUGUCCUGGAUAAACUUUUGAUGAAAAUUAUAGUUAGAUUCGAGCCUAUAUAAUAUCUCCAAAAACGAGAAAGUGAAGUUCAGCAUGCUAUUGCAAUUAUUGGUUGUUAUUAUUAUUAUUAUUAUUAUGGUUUGUUUCUGUUUUUCUUAUUUAUCACUGUUACCAUCUUCUUGUGCUUAUAAUCAUUUACUUCGUAUUCCUUUUCUAGUUCUCUAAUUAACUCAACCCAAUAAAGCCUUAAUAUGACUUCGUUGGAUUGACAUAUCUAACGAUCCUCAUUUUUUUUGAGUUCUUAUUGUUAAGAGCAUGAUAUGUAUAUUGAACCCAAAUCAUAUAAACUUAAGCUUUUAGGAAAAUUGGUAGUUCAACAUGUUAUUAGAGCCUGAUUUGGCAAGAGGUCUUGUGUUGGAGUCACCUCUUUGCAAUUUGCAUAUUUAUUUCCACAUUUUCAUGUUUGUAAAUCCAAAAAGGGCUAUUUGCAUUUGUUUCUCUCUCUCUCUCUCUCUCUCUCUCUCUCCCCUGUCUCUCUAUGUCUCUCCAUGUGUGGGUAUGGGGUCGCACGUGAGGGAGGGUGUUAAGAGCAUGAUAUGCACAUAGAACCCAAAUCCUACAAGCUUAUGCUUUUAGGAAGAUUGGUAGUUCAAUACUUAUGAUUUGCAAGAUAAUUUUGCCUUUUCCCUUCAUGUAGCUGUUAUGCAUUUUAAGAUGAUCUCAUAGCCUUAGCUCUACCAAACAUUUGGAUAUCAACCCAAAAAAAAUUCUGUGCUUUUAUAACUAAUUUACUCAAAAGGUUUAUACAUACAAAGAUUGAAUUAUUGCAUAGUUGAAAAUUUUUUGGAGCAAGAAAUCAAACCAGAUUCUCAAAGUUGAACUAGUUUUCUUUUGGCGGAUACUAAGGUUAUGUAUCAAUCCCCACUUCUAAGAAUUUUUUUUUUUAAUUAAAAAUAGGUUUUGGGGUUUCCAGAAAAAAGACAAGACUGAUCAUUUAAUUCUUUUGCUACUUCUAUUUUGUAGUUGGAAUCUUUUAAUAUUUGUUCUUCCAUCCUAGUUCUAUCUUUAUAUAAAUGGGAGAAUGGGCGAAACAGACAUCAAUGUUGCUUAUCAGCCAUUCAUCGUGCAUAUGCUUUUAUUUUGCUUGUUGUAUAGACUUAGUAUAUGUGAAACUUCGGAUGUGUAGCUAAAUGUUCUAUGUUGUAGUACAGAGCAUGUUGCUUGGAUAAUGAUGGAUAGCACCAUCUUUUUUUGAAGUUAUAAACUAUGUGCCACAGUGAAUUUAAUUGCUCUUACACUGCAGAAAUCAUCAUCAUUGAGGUGUUUAAAGCAUUCCAUUUCUGAGCUGCAUCAUUCCUAUGAACAUGGCUCAUGCCAGGAGCUAAGGGAUCAACCACCGGCAUCUACUAGCAAAUCAUGCAGCGCAUACUCAAUGGUAGAGGUAUAUCUUCAUUCUCUUACCUAUAGAAAUUUUACCUAGAUGACCAUCUUGAGUGCUCUGAUUCACUGAAAUUUUUGUCGCUACAUUAGGUGCUUCUUCUGCACUCUUUGCAUUUUGUUCCAGAAAUAUAGAAGUAUUGCUUCCUAGUCUUCUGACCAAAAAUCCAUAGAUGAUAUUUAGUUUUGAAUCAACUCAAACUGGCUCUCAUUUGCUGCUUCUAAACAACGGCUGGUUUCAGCACUACAUACUGAAAUGCAUUCUUUAUUGGAAAUGAGCAAUACAACAUAUAUGCAGCUAGCUCUUUUUUUUUUUUAUAAUUGAAUUUUAUCUGUGGUGUAUGAGUGUCAUUGUAAAAAUAUCUGAGUCCCAUACCUAAAGAUUAGUUGAUCAUAAGAGUACCUUGUUGAGCCACAAAUAACCUGUGUCCAUGUAACAUAGAGGGGAAUAUCCAAACCAUGCUGUUCAUUUCUGAAACUUGUUGCAAUGGUCAGCAUCCUUUUUGGUUUUCUUGAUGGUAAUAAACAGAGGCAAGAAUUUAAGUUGGUUAGUUCAUGUUUCAUAUUCUUGUAUUUUGGUUCUCAUUGCUUGGAAGCCCUUCUUUUGCACUGUAUGUGAUUCAGCUGCAUAUAUACCAAUUGGUUUAUGAACCACUGGAAGCAGCCAAAGGGCUCUGAAUCUGUGCUAAAAACUGGAUGAUUAUAUUCUCUUUUCCUUGUUUUAAUAGCAUAGAUGGCCUGAGGGUCUGAAAAUAUAUUCUGAACUCCACCUGAUAUUAGGUCAGCUAUAUGAAUUCCAUAUCGAGACUAUGAAAUGAGCAAAAACGUGGAACCCAUUUUUUUAACUUACAGGGUGUGGCAUGAGUGGAAGCACAAACUGAUUAUAUUGCAAGAACUUGAGAAAAUUACUUAUGGUGAUGAGUCAAAUUCGAAGUAUUCAUAGCAGCUGCAGUACUAUGAGUUAAUUAUCAAAACUGGUUCAUAUUUGACCUAAUCCUUGUUAUAAGUAAAGUUGGGCAACAACACAAGAAAGAAGAAUGGAUUUGCUAUCUUGUUUGAUAGGGUGAUUAGAGCAAUCAAUCACUUAGAUAAAUAAUUUGGGUGGGUGAUGUAACUCCCAUUCAUAGGAGCUAAACAGAUUGACACACUUGAUCCUGAAAGGGUACAAUUUAUGUCUCGAGAUUGUGAAAAGCCACAAUACAUUGGUUAGGGGUAGAAUCCUAAUUGCAAGGUUGUGAUCAAAAGGACUAUAGAGUGGUCUGGAUCUAUCUGGAAUAUAGAGAUUCAAAAUUUGGAGCUCUAGUGUUCAACAGAAUAUGUGAGCUUCUCUUCUUUCUCAGCUCUCGUAAGAAUUCUGUUUGAUGGAGAAAAGAAAAAGGAAAGAAAAAAGGAAUCAUUUUUUGUUUCUUGCAGAUUUGGUAAAUCAAAGGGCACUCAAAGGAUUGGUCUCUGUUAGUGCAGGUGUAGUUAGAUAACAUCAUUGUUGGUAUUCAUUAUAUUCUGAUGAGGACUUUCUAGGAACUCGCUGCAAUCCGACUAUGCAGAUUGGUUCAGGGAAAUAAAUGACUCAAGGAAAACAACAUUUUUAUGUUCCUUGAAGUCAUUUAAUCCACUUAUUUAUUCAUCUUCUUUUUUGAACUUUACUCUGACAUCCUUAAGUAUAAUGUUGUAUGAAGUAAGAAGAGGGGAGCCCACCCCUGAUGUAAUAGUGCUGAGACAUUUUUAUCUUAUGAAAAAAUAACCAUAUAGAUCAGUAAAUGAAAAGAGUUUUUUGGGGUUGUCUUUGAUGCUCAUAAGGGAAAAAGAUUUAAAAUGGUGAGCUCCUCGAUAAUUACAAAUUUCAUUUGCUUAAUUCAUGUGUAUUAAGUGCUCUCUCUCUCUCUCUCUCUCUCUCUCUCUCUAUUUCUGUAUGCUUUGUGUGUUCAGCUAAACUUGAUGAAGGCUUCACAAAAAUUUGUAAUUGAUGACAGCGGGAAGCUAACAUUUAAUACUUCAUAUCAGAAUGCAGAUAACUCAGUAGCAGUUUUCCCCGAGGAUAUAAUAUCCAUUAAAACAGAUACCAAAUGUUAUCAACCUGUAGACUUUGGGAAACUUACCAAGGGGAUGCCUCCUAAGGGUCUAUGGGAGCACCCUAAUCAACUAUCAGAAGAGAUGGUACGAUGCAUGAAAAAUAUAUUCAUAUCUCUGGCUGAGUCUGCUCUACCAUCCAAACCAUCUGCAGUGGAGAGUCAGUGCUCUUCCUUGUCACCUCGUGGACAUCUUUCAAAUUCGUCUUUGUGGUCAUCAUCUGAGCGCUCAAUCAUUUCAUCAUGGGUACAGAGCCCACAAGUUGAUGUAAAAGGUCACUCUGAAGUUUUAGCCACAGAGAAUGUCUGUGACCCCUAUAAAGUGCGUGGAAAAUUAAGUUGGGCAGACAUUGGAACGUAUGGUUUAGCAACUGAGGUUUCUUGGAUGUCUGUUGGGAAGAAGCAACUAGAAUAUGCUUCUGGGGCACUAAGGAGGUUCAGGUACGAAAUCAUUCCACCAUCCUAAGUUUAAAUUUUUUGUCUCUCUUUUGAAACAAUGGUAAUAUAAGGUUUCUAAAAUUCUAGAAAAUAUUACUAAAACUUUGAAAAAUAUCAAUAAAAGUUUGAAAAAUAUUCAGAGCAGUUAAUGAAACAAUUUCUGCAGUUGCUUUCACUAGGCUGUUUUCCGUAUGUUGUGAAUUCUAAUUAUCUUAGCCUUUUGAAAUUGCAUCCACAUUAUUUGUAUAUGCCAAACACAAAUGUGUUACAUUGCACAUCUAUCUUUUCUAUACAUUCUAGUUGUCCCAUUUAAGCAUGUCCAUUGUUUUUCUUUGCAGUCAAGUAAGGUCUAAUGAUUUAGGAGACUUAUCCAAGGUAGCUAUGGUUCCAAAUGAAUUUUGAGAAGUUUCAAUAUUUGAAGAUGAGUUUACAGAGAUGUCAAUUUUUUAUUCUGAAUCCUCCCUCACAUUUCUUUCCAACUCGAGUAUUUUGUUAAUUUAAUUGGAUUGGGUGAAUAGUUCAAUUUCUACUCAUUCAAUGGGGAUGUUUGCUUAAGGUCCUCGCACUAAAUCAAAUUGUAUAUGGGUCAGAUGAGCUGAAUGUCUAUCAAAAUGGGGAAAAAGAAGAAGAGAAAAAUAAAAAGGGAAAAAAGAAGUGAGAUAAAGCUUAGUAGGCCUAGUCAAAGCAUUCCCUAAAGCUUUGUCCCUUAUUUCUUUGAAUGGAUGACUGUUGUGUGGAUCUAAAGCUGAUCAUUGCUGUUUUGGUGAUAUUUUUUGGAGAAUAGAACACUAGUUGAGCAGCUGGCGAAAGUGAACCCUAUCCAAUUGAACUGCAAUGAGAAGCUGGCUUUCUGGAUCAACUUAUAUAAUGCACUCAUAAUGCAUGUGAGUUCUUCAGUUCUUGUUAUAUGUAUAGAUUGGAAUCAAUUUACACAAGGCAUUGCUCCAUUUAGCUUUGCAGACGCAUGAAAAUAUGGAAUUUCUUUUUUGGAAUAUGACAAAUCAGUGGCAAACUUUGUUUAAUUUUACUAAUGCCUAAAACAUGGACAGGCGUACUUGGCAUAUGGAGUCCCAAGAAGUGACCUGAAGCUCUUUUCUUUGAUGCAAAAGGUUUGAUAUCUGACAUGGAUGCUCUUUUAUCUAUUUUUGUGGUUUGUUUGUGAUGGACUUUUCUAGAGAAUGUCCUUCUGCAUAGUCAAGAUGUCACACUACGGAUAUUUAUAUGGCACUCCAGUGCAAUUAUCAGGGGCCAGAUGAACAAUAACAUGGUCUUUGUUUGGUGGGCUUGGGUCACAAAGCAGUCAGUUGCUUUGGUGCUUACCAAGUGCGCGCGCACGCACACACAGACACAGACACAGACACACACACAUAUAUAUGCUUAUUAUUUGGAUACAGUUUUUAUCAUGCUAUUUAAAAAAAGGUUUUAUAAUUUUGCAAAUAACUGCAGUGUAGGAUGGAUACUGUCAUAUAUACUAGAAGAGCCAAUGAGAGAUAAAAGUUGUGGGCACUUUUGAUAAAAGCAAAUUUUACGGGUACUAUAGAACAAUGGAGGAGAAGCAUUUAUCUUUUUGAAUGUUUUCAUUAUGAUUUCUGGAAUUUGGAUGUGUUCAUUAAUCUUUCUACUUGCUGUUGUGUUCGUUAAUCUUGCUCCUUUCUUACCAUAGAGUUAUUUUUUCAAUUUUCCAGUUCUUUGUCCUAUUGUGGUUAAAACAAUUAUGGCGAGAAUUUAAGGUUCUAUUUGACAACCAUGAUAGUACCCAUGUAUUGCAGUACAUGUGUUAAGAAAUUCAUAAUUGAUUAACAAAGUGGAAAAGGCUAAAAUUGCAUCCUGGAGCAGAUCGUUAUAUGAUAUGAGGUUGCCUCUGAGGAUGACAAGGAAAGUCCUGAUUCAUUUGUGGAGAAAACCAGAAGUCAUCUAUGGUAUAAAUUAAACUAUUAUUGCUGUUUAUGGGCCAAAGGAGGGAGAUAAACUCAUAAUGAAGAAAGUUGAAGGUCACCACAUUCUAGCACAAUCAAAUCGGGAAGAGAUGGCUCUAAGCAAUGGUGUUUUGUGACUAUCAAAUUGAACAUAUGAAUCACUAGAAUGUGAUUCGUAUUUAUCCAAGUUUGUCUCCUUUGUGGAUUCAAAUGACCAUAUUUGAUUUUUAGGAAACAAGAAGGAAGCUAACACAACUUUUGAAAUUAUUCAAGCCAACAAAGGCUUUAAGGGAUCUUAAUGUUAUUCUAGCUCUUUCUCGUCUGCUCUGCUUGUUUAUUUCUCCAAGAAAGGGAUGAAGAAUCUUUUUGUGAACUUUCAAAAGCCUUGUAUCCAUCUCAUUGAUGAGUUUUUUGUCUACUGUGUAACCAGAUCAAUCUAGGCGAUACAUUAAUUGUUUUUGAUGAUUUAUCAUCUCAUAUCCAGAAAUGUAAGGCUGCAGCAGAUGUGUAUAUAGUUGCUCACUUGGUUUUCUGUCUUCAGGCGGCUUACACUGUUGGGGGGCAUUCUUUCAGUGCAGCUGCUAUUGAGUAUGUGAUUCUGAAGAUGAAACCACCUGUCCAUCGGCCACAAAUUGUAUGGAGUUACUUUUAUGGUCUCUAAUGAGUUGCUCUUGUGUGUUUCUUCUUCUCUUUCACUUUGUUCACUAAUCAUUAACUUUUCACGUAUGGAAUAUUAUCAGGCUUUGCUACUUGCCCUUCACAAACUGAAGGUGUCAGAGGAGCUACGGAAGUCUGCAAUUGAUACGUGUGAACCUCUUGUAGCUUUUGCUCUCAGCUGUGGGAUGUAUUCGUCACCAUCAGUAAGUUUUUUUGAUACUUUUCCACUAUUCAUUGAAGCUUAAUCUUGUUCCAUGAGUCAACUUGAAUUCUAAAUAUAUUUUUGUGCAGAUAAGGAUCUACACAGCAAAGAAAGUGAGGGAGGAGCUUCAGGAAGCUCAGCGCGAUUUUAUUCGGGCCUCAGUGGGGUUGAGCAGCAAAGGCAGGUUAUUGGUGCCAAAGAUGCUGCACUGCUUUGCAAAAGGCUUUGUGGAUGAUGCAAAACUGGCUGUAUGGAUAUCACAUUACCUUCCACCCCACCAGGCUGCCUUUGUUGAGCAGUGCAUUUCACGGAGGCGACAAAGCCUUCUUGGUUCACGUAACUGUGGGAUUCUUCCCUUUGAUUCUCACUUCCGUUACCUGUUCCUGCCUGACCAACUUUCACUCUAAUGGCGCUUGUUUUAUACUAAAUAUGCAGCCUUAGGUCAAUUUCCACCUUGGAAAUGACUUGAGGAUGGUUGCAGUUUUGGUGUUUUUGCCUUGUAGACCAGUUGUAUCCCUGUUGGGUGUUGUAUAUGUUGUUGAUGGACAGCAGGAGCUCAAGUAUGGGGCUCACUGCAGGUAACUGACAUGUACUAGCUUCAUUUAACAAACUGUUAAUAAAGAAUUAAUGAAGAUUUGUUCUAUUGCCUACUGAUUGAUAAAAUCUUUUAUUCUACAAAAACUCAGUCUGGUGGAUGUUGAGAGGUAGUCUGGCAUUAUUAGGACUAAUGGGGUAUAUUGAGACAAGAGGCUUCAACCUGAGCUGUAUGGCUUUACUUCCAUGCAGAUGGAUAUGUAAAUGGAAGCCAGAAGGGUGCCAGGUUGGUUGGAUUCAGAAGGGCAGACCAAAGGUAUAAAUGAAUUGGGGUAAACUGUGAUGGCCUCUUCAUUAAAUUUAUGGAGCCCACAGGAGGGGUCCAUUCUGAGUGCCUAUCUUCAGCUAAAUCCUUGGAGCAAGAAACAAGGCUGUAAUCCAACAUGACACAGCUUCCCACAUAGCUUCCUUGGGCUCCCACCUAUCCUACGAUAUUCUGGUGUUCUUAUCCCAUCAGACUAUCCACUUCAAAGUGAGACUAGGGGCACGUCUAAAAACCUUACCUGUCUCCUAAAGCCCCUAAAGAACUUUAUUUUUCUCCAACAAAAAAAAUCCUUCAUUAACUCUAAUUUAAUUCUUUUUUUGAAUCAAGUCUGGUGCAUCUUGCCUCCAAGGAUCCUACUGAUGUCAUUGAACUUCGAGGUUGAUUAUUCUCUGAGUUUGAAACCAAUUUUAGGUUUUUAUUUUAUUUUAUUUUUAUAAUAUGGAGUUUGAAGGAAAGAGCAUUAGUUUUUAUUCAACCUCGAAAAAGUUUAUCUUGAUUAGGAAAGCUUAAGAAAAGAAAUUAGAUUAAUGGUUGAAUAAAAAAGUUAAAAAAUAAGAAACUUUAUAUAAAUUUUUGACUCUUAAAUCAAAGAAGCAACAAGGUGAAAUUAAAAAUUUGAAAGAGAACAUGUUUUAUAGAUGUUUUGACUUGUUUUUUCAAAAAUUGUUUUAAAAAAUAAUUAUAUAAAUAUAAAGAAUGAUAAAAAAAAAACCACACACAUAUAUAUAUAUAUAUAUAUAUAUAUAUAUAUAAUAUUAAGUGUUCAUUUGAAUAUACUUGGUGUUUUUUAUUUUUAAAAUUAGAAAAUGUCAGUAAAUUUUAUAUAAGAUACAAAAACUAUAUAAUAAUAAGUAUUCUUUUGAAUACACUUCAUUUUUUCUAUUUUAAAAUAAAAAAGUGUUAGUAUAUAAAAUAUGAAAACUCUUAGAGAUUUAUGUUGAAAUAAGAAUGGGUUUUUUAAAAACCGUUUUUAAAAAAAUUGACGUAUAAAAAACAUGUACUACCUCAAAUUUUAAAAUUUUUGAAGUAAUUUUAAAGGCACAAGGUAAAUCUGUACUUUUUGUACAAGAUGUUUUACUUUUAUAUAGAAGUUUCUAAUUUUAUUUUUUUAAAAAAAAGAAGUAUAUUGAAACAGGCACUAAUAUAACAAAAUUUUAAUAUUAAAUUUAUUUUAGCCAAAAUAAACUAAAAUAUUUCUAAAUAAAAGAAAUCAAUUUUAUUAAUUUUAGUAAUAAAAAAAAGUUUUUAGUUAAAAAUGCAAUUGGUGGCUAUAGUUUAAGUUUAAGUUUAAAACUAUACUCGCCAACUAUGAUUUUAAAAAUGUUAGAGAAUCUAUGUGAUUCUCUGACUUGCAUAAAUCAAUGUAUAGUUGUAGAGAUUUUGGUAAAAUAAAGUAGUUUCCUAAUUCUAAGGCUUUCCUAAUUUUCAUAUAAUUAGUAAGGUUGUCUCUUGAUUUUUGGGGAUUGAUAGGAUGUCAAACUCUCAUUAAAUAGGUUGUAGGUAAUAUGUAUAUAUAUAUUUUCCUUGGUAAAUGAUUAUUCAAGAUAGCAUAAAAUAAUAUUUUUCCUCAUGGUAUCAGAGCAUCAGAUUGAAAAUCUCUGGAAAAGUAAAAGAGAAUAAAGCACAUAAGAUGAAAAUCUUUGGAAGAGUAAAAGAGAAUAGAGCACACAAGAUGAAGACAAAAGGAAUUUUAGUUGAAGGUGGAGUUCAUUGCUCUCUCAUUGGAAUGUGAUACAAAGAGAGUGUAUCAUAGAGAGAUUGAAGAUUGACUUAAUGGAAUUUGGUCCAAGGUGGAAAUUGUUGGGAAUGUCCCAAAUUCCUAAUUAGUAAAGAUUCUUUUCUGUAAAGAAUAUUGUAUAAAAUAUUUCCUAAGUUGACAUAUUAUUGUAAUAUUAGAUUUCCUUAUAGAAAAAUGAAAGUUAUUAAGAAUAUCUCUAAAAGUAUUCCAAAUCAUUAGGGGAAAAAGGUUAUGAGACAAAAAUGAGUUCAUAAAACUAUAUGAGGUGGAUAGAUAUGUAAGGAAGAUUGGGAGACAUUUGGUGGAGCUAGGGACUCGUGGUUCAGAGUAUAAAUGCAAGGAGUGAAGAAAUAUGAGAUGUUUUGGGAACCCAAUAGUUGUAUUUGGUUCUAUCCUCUAUAAUAUUCUUUAUGGUAUAGUGGAAUGAUUCUUAUUCAUCCUUGGAUGUAGGUAUGGUUAGUCGAACCGCAUUAAAACCUCAUGUACCUUUAUAUGGAUUGUUUUAUCUUUAUGUUUCUUAUCUAACAUUGUUUGCAUUAAAGUUUUCGCUAACAUAACAAAUUGGUAUCAAAGUUCUUGCUAUUUGGGAAAAAAUUUGUGCAAAAUCUUAUAGCUUUUCUUGUUGAAAAAGUUUUCUAAGAAAUUUGAUUCUCUAAGAAAUCCUCUCUAGUUGUCCAUUAUUCAUUCCUACUCAUUAUUUAGCCAUGUUUGAAACAUCAGAAGUUAACCUUAUUACUAUGAUUACUGAAAACUAAUUUAAAGAAGUGCAACAAAACUCUCUAAAAGAGAAGUUGUAGAAUAUUCAAUUGUCACAUCGAUUGAAUGACAAAAACUACUUACAAUGGUCACAAGUGGUGAAGAAUUCUUUGAAAGGAAAAAGGAAAUUAAGCCAUUUGAUAGGAACCAGGCCUGCUCAGAAUGAUCCUACAUUUGUCAAAUGGGAUGAGGAAAAUUCAAUGAUUAUGUUAUGGAAUUCGAUGUUACCAGAAGUAAGCAAAAAUUGUAUGUUUUUAACAACAACAAGGGAGAUUUGGGAAACAGUUUGCCAAACCUAUUCCAAGAUGCAUGAUGCAAGCUUCAUUUAUAAUGUCAAGACAAAAAUAAAAACAAUCAAACAAGGUACUCUUUUAAUCAUUGAAUACUAUAAUAUCAUGAAAGGACUUUGUCUUGAAUUAGACUAUUAUUAAAAUUUUAAAAUGAAGUGUAGUGAAGAUGUUGCUAUGUUAUUAAAGCUUGUAAAAAGGGAAAGAAUUUUUGAGUUUCUUUAGGACUUAAUGUUGAAUUUGACCAAGUCUGAGUGCAAGUUUUGGGGAAGGAAACUCUACCCGCAUUGUAGGGUGUUUUCUCAAUAAUCUGAGCUGAAGAAAGCUGAAGAGGUGUCAUGCUUGAAUCACAACCCUUAAAAGGGUUUCUGCUAUGGUUUCCAUAAAAACAAGUGAUGAAGGAAUCAAGAGGGAUGUUGAGAGAUAAAGAGGCACAAUCAAAACCAUUAAGAAUGAGUUAACAAGGUUGUUUAACCAUGAUGGAGUAUGGUGCACCUACUGUAAGAAGCCUCGACACACUAAAGAAACUUGUUGGAAAUUCCAUGGGAAACCCUAAGGAGUAGGCUGAAAUGGUAGUUUUAAGGGUGGACAAUAGAGAGGACAAGCUCACUUGACUCAUGUAGAAAGUCAUCCUUAUAAGAAUCCCAAUUCAAGUAGCUUGGAGACUAGAGGAUUCAAUUAGGAGAUAGAGAGGCUAAGAAAUCUCGUUAAUUCACUUAAAAAAACAAAUGAAUUGUGUUCAUUUGUAUAAUCAGGUAAGUUUCCUACUUUUUAUGCCCUUAGUGCCUCAAACACACUCCACAAUGAUCCUUGGGUCAUAGACUCGAGAGCAACCGAUCAUAUGACAUAUUUUUCUUAGUCAUUUAUCACUUAUAAUCCUUGUCCUAAUAAUAAGAAAAUCAAAAUUGUAGAUGAGUCUUUCACUACUGUUGUAGGUUAAGGAACCGUUACUUAAUUCCCUUUUCUUUCACUAAAAAAUGUGUUAGAUGUUCUUAAAUUGUCUAUCAAUCUUUUGUUUGUUCAUUAAGUUACUAAAUAUUUAGAUUAUAAAGUGACUUUCUAUCCAACCUACUAUGUUUCAUAGGAUUGGGUUAUGAGGAGGACAAUUAGACAUACUAAGGAAAAUGAUGAACUUUAUUUCCUUGAGACAAAGGGUGGAAGUAGCUACUGACCUUUACAUUUCUAUUUAUCCAAUAAUUUUUCCUUCAAUAAAGAUGACAUUUGGCUUCAACACUUCCAUCUUGGACAUCCACCAUUUAGUUUACUCAAAGAUAUGUUUCCUUUAUUAUUAAAAAAUGUUGAUAUUCACAAUUUACAUUGUAAUAUUUGUGAGUUUGCUAAACCUCAUUGUAUUUUCUUUCCUUUGAGUAAUACAAGAUCAUCUUCUCCAUUUUCUUUGAUUCACUUUGAUAUUUGGGGUCCAUAUAAAAUUCCUAAUAUUUCAGGUGCGAAAUGGUUUGUCUCAUUUAUUGAUUAUUGCACAAGGGUAACAUGAGUUUUUCUCUUCAAAUAAAAAUCCGAAGUGAGUGAACUUUUUCCAAUUUUUUUCAAAAUGAUCAAAAGCCAAUUUGGGGUAUGCAUUAAGAGUUUAAGGAGUAAUGCAAUGGGCUAUUUUAAUCAAACCCUAUCAACUUUUCUUCAAAAGGAAGAUAUUGUUCAUUAUUCAUCCUUUAUGGAUACUCCGCAACAAAAUGAGGUUGCUAAAUAGAAAAAUAGAUGCUUACUUAAGGUUACAUAAACACUUUUGUUUCAAACACAUGCUCCUAAAUCUUAUUGGGGAGAAGCCAUGUUGAUAGAAACAUACUUGAUAAAUCGAAUGCUCUCAAGGAUUCUAUGAUCAAGAGUCCUAUGAGUGUUUUUUCCAACCAUUUUCCAAAUUCUCACAUCACUUGCAAGCUUACUUCUAAAAUUUUUGGGUGUGUUAACUUUGUGCAUAUCCAUGCCCAUAAUUGGGGAAGGCUUGACCCACAUGCCUUGAAGUGCAUAUUUGUAAGAUAUUCCGCCACAAAAAAGGGAUAUAAAUGUUAUCAACUAUCUUCAAGGAAAUUCUUUAUCUCCAUGGAUGUUACUUUUGUUGAAAAACAAUCCUUUUUCUCUACUCCUUAUCUUCAAGGGGAGACAAACACUACAAAAGAUAAGGAUAAGGAUUAUUUUCUACUUGAUAUUUCUCUUCUAUCAGGUUCAUCAAGUUUUACUUCACCCCAAUAGUCAAUAUCCUUCUUUGUGUUACCUAGGUCAUUUCCUAUAGCUUUAAGCAACAAUCAACCUGAAACAAAGCCUGAAAUAAAGCUUGAAAUAGAAAUUCCAACCUCAGUUCAUGCUAAUGCUUAGCCACUCCAAGUGUACUCUAGAAGAAGGACGUCCAUUCCUCCACCUAUGCAAGUUCAAGAGUCCAAUUCGCAACCAAGUAUGGAAACACCUCUUACUAUAAAUGAUCUAGAUGUUCCCAUAACACUUAGGAAGGGAAUUCGAAAUUGCACUCAACAUCCAAUAUCCCAUUUUGUUUCUUUAGACAAACUAUCUUCUCAAUAUAAGAGUUUUUUCACCUAAGCAAAUUCUAUUUAAAUUCCUCAAACUCACCAUGAGGCACAUAGGGAUAAGAAUUGGAAAAAUGUCAUGAAUGAGGAAAUGAAGGCGCUAAAUAAAAAUCAAACUUGGGAAAUAGUGGACCUUCUAGAAGAAAAAAAGAUUAUGGGGUGUAAAUAGGUGUGUACAAUAAAAUAUAAAGUUGAUGAGUCUUUAGAAAGAUAUAAGACAAGAUUAGUAGCCAAGGGCUACAUUUAAACUUAUGGGCUUGAUUAUCAAGAAACUUUUGCACUUGUGGCAAAAAUGAAUAUCGUGCGUGUGCUCUUAUCUUUGGUAGCUAACUUAGAUUGGUGUUUAUAGACAUUUAAUGUGAAAAAUGCAUUUUUACAUGGUGAUUUGGAAGAAGUGUAUAUAGAGGCACCAUCGGGUUUUGACUAGUUAUUUGACAUGAAUAAAUUUUGUAGGUUGAAAAAAAAUUUAUAUGGGUUGAAACAAUUUUCAAGAGCGUGGUUUGGAAGAUUUACUAAAGUAAUGUUGAAGAUGAAGUACAAACAAAGUCAAAGAGAACACACAUUGUUCAUUAAAUACUCAGGUUCAGGGAAAGUCGUUCCAACAUUGAUUGGGUAUUUUGAUGAUAUAAUUGUGACAGGUAAUGAUCUAAUGGAAAUGCAAUUGCUUAAAGACCAGUUGGCUAAAGAAUUUGAAAUAAAAGAAGUUGAAAAAAUCUUAAGUAUUUCCUAGGAAUUGAAGUAACUUGAUAAAAAAAAGGAAUAUUUGUGUCACAACAAAAGUACAUACUUGAUCUUCUCAAGGAAUCUGGAAUGUUAAGAUGCAAGUCUAUUGACACAUCGAUUGAACCGAAUCACAAACUAAGUGAGGCUAGUGAUGAUACACCAAGGGAUCGAGGAAGAUAUCAGAGGUUGGUUGACAAGUUAAUUUACCUUUUGCACACACAACCGAAUAUAGCAUAUGUGGUGAGUAUGAUAAGUCAAUUUAUGCAUAACCCAAAGGAUGUUCAUUUUCAAGUUGCCUAUAAAGUUCUCCAAUAUCUCAAUAGUAUCCCAAGGAAAGGAAUUUUGGUUAAAAAAGAUGCAAAACUAAGCCUUAAAGCAUACAUAGAUGUUGAUUAGUAGGAAAUUUAGUAACUUGGAGAAGUAUGAAGCAGAUUGUGGUGGCAAGGUCAAGUGUCGAGGUAGAAUUUAGAGCUACUACUCAUAGUAUUUGUGAACUUUUGUGGUUGAAAAUCAUUCUUGAUGAUCUCAAAAUUAAGUGGCAAGGACCAAUGAAGUCGUAUUGUGACAAUAAGUCAGCCAUCAACAUUGAUCAUAAUUUGGUUCAACAUGAUUGAACCAAACAUGUUGAAAUCGAUAGACACUUCAUCAAAGAGAAGUUUGAGAGCGGAUUGACAUAUACACCAUAUGUCCCAACAUAUGGGACAAUUAGAAGAUAUUUGAACCAUGGGAUUGAUCGGUUCUUCAUUCCAAAAAGUUACAAGCAAGUUGGGAAUGAAUAAUUUUAUUCACCAACUUAAGGGGGAGUGUUGGAGAAUCUAUGUGAUUAUUUGGCUUAUAGAAAUCAAUGUACAACUCUAAAGAUUUUGGUAAAAUAGAGUAGUUUCCUAAUUGUAACACUUUCCUAUUUUUUAUGUAAUUAGUAAGACUGUCCCUUGAUUUUUGGGAAUUGAUAGGAUUGUGAUAGGAUGUCAAAUUCUCCUUAAAUAAGUUAUAUGUAAUCUAUAUAUAUAUUUUCCUUUGUAACGGAUUAUUCAAGAUAGCAAAAAAUAAUAAUUUCCCUAAAAAAUAAUAAUUCAAAAUCAUAGUAACUACUAACUACGGUUUUAUCAUGGUAACAACAGUUUUGUUAUAUGAAGAACAAUUGAGGCCACGUGCAUGCCAAGAUGACUGAGAAGCGUAGGUUGGAGAUUAUUUGAAAUUUAAGUGGGUGGAUUAUUUAUUUAUUAAAUAAUCCAAGGAAAAAAAAAAGAGACACAUAGGAAAUUCUUGUCUAAUCUAAUAAAUUUUAAAAUGUUUUGAAGUGAUUUUUAAAGAUAUAAUAUAUAUUUUUAUAUAAAAGUUUUUAAUUUUAAAAAUAAUAUUAAAUUUAUUUAAAAAAAAAUAAACUAAAACAUUUUUAAAUAAAACAACAAAACUUUAUUAAAAAAAAAAUUAAAUUUUAAGUCAAAAAUAUAGUUGGUGUUUGGGAUUUUAGAAUUUAAGUUCAAAAGUAUAAUUAUUAAUUAUGGUUUUAAAAAUAAAUUUAAAAUCUUGGUGGUUGUAUGUGGUUUAAUCCAUUUAAAAAAAAAAAAGAAAAAAGAAAUUCAAAACCGUAUUUACCAAUACAAUUAUGGCUUUAUUAUGUAAAAUCAUAGUCAUUUAAAAAAAAAUUCAGGCACAUGGAUGUUAACGUCACCAAAAAUCAUAGCUUGAAAUCUAUUCUAAUUCCCAUUCCCCAAGCUAGGUUUCCAAGUGAGUGCAUCAGAAACAAAUGUGUCGUGAAUGUUUGAUGGUGGGUGCCAACAGGCAGCGGUCGACGCAUGACCGACCAGCAUAUAAAAGUGGGCAAGCCAAAAUUAUGUACUACAUGGGUGGAUCUUUAUCACUGGGCCUUCAAGAGGACAACCGUCUGCCCAGAAGAAAGGAUAGCCUUACGUCUUCUCAGCUUAGAUCUGUUUCCUGGAAGUAAGAUUGUGGUGUCACCACAAAUUUCCAAUAAUUUCUCUCCACACACAAUCACAUUUGUACAUUUACUUUCUUUUUUAUCAAUGGGGACCAGGCCUACGCUGAGAGACUCACAUGCUGAAUAAAUAUCCAACUAAGGCUGCCAAGAUCCGGACUAUUAUCAGGCUUUUAUUGAAGAAACUGUUCAAUCCAAAUCCAAAUCCUUCUGAGUUUAAGCUUUUAGAAAAUUUGAUAAUUUUACAUGACAUUAGAAUUUGGUGUAGUCGUCUCUCUAUAAUUUGCAUAUUUAUUUCCCCAUUUGCAUGUAUAUAAGACCAACAAGGAUUAUUUGCAUUUAUUUGUCUCAUUUUUACGUCUUUUUAUGUGUCUCUACGUUCAGGUAUGAGACUGUACCUGAGAGGGUAUUAAACCUUAUUUUGGUUCCUUGUCCGAAACCCCAUGCAUAUAUAGAAUCAAAUUAUAUGGAAGAAAUUGUUUCCUCACAUAAAUGAGGUGUUUUGUAAAUUUUUAAAAAUCAUUAUUUUAAAAAAUCUAGAGAAUUCAUUGAAGUUAUUCUUGAAUAAAAGAUGAUUUUUAAAGAAUCAUUUUUCUUUUGGUUAUACAACCUGUUAUUUAAAAAACAAAACAAAGCACAUUUUUGUGAAGUGAUUCUUCCGAAGAGCAUUUCUUUGCAAGCGUUGCUAGCCAUGGCCCUUUAAAUACUUGUUUGAAAGAGAAGCUUAAUUUCAAAGGCAAUUAAUUUUUAUGGCCUUUAAAUGUGGAGAAGAAUGAGGCAUUAUUUGGGAACAUUUUUAAAAACACUUCUUUGCUUGAGAAAGUUUCAAAAAUAUUUUUUUGAAUCAAAAUUUAUUUAGAAACUUAAAAUAUUUUAACUAGUUUUUUUUAUGUUUCAAAUAUUUUUUUAAAAUAACUUUUAUCUAUAGUAAUUUAUAUAUUUUCAAUCCUUAUUUAGAAUUGCAUUAUUAUUAUUAUUUUAUAAAACAAUUCAAAAAAAAAAGUGAAAACAAUUAAAGUAUGCGAGAGAGAAUAAAAUAACUUUUAUCUAUGAUAUUUUAUAUCAUUUCAAUCCUUAUCCAGAAUUGCAUUGUUAUUAUUAUUUUUUUAAAACAAUUUUUUAAAAAAGUGAAAACAAUUAAAGUAUGCAACAGGGAAUAAAAUAACUUUUAUUUAUAAUAUUUUAUAUAAUUUCAUUCCUUAUCAAGAAUUGCAUUAUUAUUAUUAUUUUUUCAAACAAUUCAGAAAAAAAAAGAAAAGAAGUGAAAACAAUUAAAGAAUGCGACGGAGAAUGUUUUGUUUUUAAAAGAAGAUCUAAAAAAACUAUUUUCUAUUGAAAAAAAUAUGCAAAUGUGAAUUUUCAAUUCAUAUUUUAAAAAGAUUUAUAGGUUUGGAAACCUACUACAUUUAACAAAACUAAUCAUGUGAAUCUCCUUCCCUUUUACUUUGGACCUUUUCAGCCUUUGUCUGUUUUCCUUUCACGGCCGUGACCCCGAUCAAAAGCUGGUAUGGCCUCACAAAUUCUUCUUUUCAGUAUCAUGAAUUCCGGAGCUUAUACCCUACAAUUAAAGCUUUAAAGGUUAGUGAAUCUGAAAGAUGAAAUCCAUUUUUCAUCGUUGAGUUUUUUUUUUUUUUUUUUGUUUUUUGUGAGAAAGAAGAAAAUAGUAUUCCUUAGGGUUUUACCAUUAUCGUACACAAUCCUGUAAACUUCAUUAUAUCAGUCCAAAAAUUCAGUCUUCGUAUUAUGACCAAGACAUUCACCAUAUUGAAGAGAGAAAUUAAACAACAUGAUAAGUCAAAUUAGAAGAAUUUCAAGAAUUUGAGAAAUAUUAAGAAUUGUUAUUUAUUUAGGUAUCUUAUGUCAAUUAAGACUUUUUAUCUGGUAGGAAUUGAAGUCCUAGUACAAAUAUGAUUAGUUUAUUAUAAAUAGAUUUGUUAUUAUGUUGAAAAGUAGAAUGCAAUAAAGUAUUAUUUUAGUAAAAAUAUUAUCAAUACCUAAUUGUGUGGGUUUCAAUAAUUGGUGUCAAAGCUAGAAGACUAGAGAAGGUGAAAUGCUAGAUUAGAGCUAGAAUAUCAGGGAAUGUGCAAAAUUACAAGAAAGUUGCAAUUUUGUUGGUGAAAGUAUGACUACAAAUAAUAAUUCAAUUUAUCCUUAAUUCCCAAAAUUCAUAGGUAAGAAUUUUGAUAAUUGGUGUAUUCAGAUGCAUGUCUUGUUUAGGUCUCAAGAUUUAUAAGAUUUAGUGAAUAGUGGUAACAACAAAGUGAUCGAUUCAAAAGAAUUUGAGGCACUAUCAAAGGAGUAAAAAGAUUCAUUGAGAGAUUCUCGAAAGAAAAAUAAAAAAACACUCUAUGAAAUAUUCUAAAUAGUAGAUGAAUUCAUAUUUGAGAAAAUCUCAGAGAUGGAAACAACAAAAGAGAGUUAUUCUACAAAAAUUAUACAAAGGUGAUGAACAUGUCAAGUGAAUGAAGUUGCAAAUAUUAAGAGGUGAAUUUGAGUCUCUUUGCAUGAUUGAUUUUGAAUCUAUCUCAUAUUAUUUUGAUUGAGUACAAACUAUUGUUAACUAGAUGUAGGUUUAUUGUGUUUGCAUGAACAAUGAAUCAACUCUACAAAUUUGGAGCAAGCCUUGCAGAGUAGAGCAUCUAUCGGAGGCGUGGUGGUCAACAAUGUGGUAGAGGCCAUGGUCGUGGUAGAGUUAGAGGAGGACAUAACAACUUCAACAAUAAAGAUGGAGAUGUUGACGUAAAUUCUUCUAAAGGAAGGGGCAACACUUCUAGACUUAAAGACAAGUUACACAUGCAUUGUUUCAUAUGCAAAAAGUAUGAACAUUAUAAGUAAGAAUGUAGAACAAAAUUAUAGAAUGAAUAAGACGAAUAGGCAAACACGGUUGAGGUAGAGUAUAAUUUGGUAUAAACUUGCAAUGUAGCAACAUCAAAUGUAGACCAACAAGAUGUUUGGUAUCUUGAUACAUGAGGCAAUAAUCAUAUAUGCGUUAAGAAAGAAUUGUUUUCACAAUUAGAUAAAAAGUUUGAGACGAAGUUAAUUUUGGAAACAAAUCCAAAGUGUCGAUCAUGGACAAAGGUAAUGUUAAAAUACGUUCUAAAGAUGGUACUGAUGUUACUAUAACAAAUGUAUUUUUUGUUUUGGAAUUUGUUGAGUAUAGGACAAUUAACAAAAAAAAGGACAUAUCAUUAAUAUCUCUAAUGGAGUUUGCACCCUUAGUGAUAAAAAUAAGAAGAUGAUUGCAAAAGUGCAAAUGAUAAAGAAUAGGAUGUUUCCUAUGUUUCUUAAAGCAGAAACUUUAUUUAGCUUGAAGACAAUAGUGGAAGAUAACAAUUGGCUUUGACAUCUUUGGUUUGGUCAUCUCAAUUUUGAUGAGUUGAAGUUGUUAGUGUAGAAGAACAUGGUAAUAGGAUUACCUAUGAUUGAUAUUCCGGAUCAUGCAUGUGAAAGAAGUCUCAUUGGGAAACAACAUAGGAAUUCUUUUCUAAUUGGAAGAUCCAAAAGAGCUAAACAACCUUUGAAGUUGGUACAUACAGAUAUAUGUGAUCUCGAUAAGGUAAGGUCUCUUGGUCACAACAACUACAUUUUGACCUUUAUAGAUGAUUUUACAAGAAAAACUUGGAUUUAUAUGUUAAAAUAAAAAUAUGAAGCUUUUAAUAAGUUUAGAGAAUUCAAAGUUCUUAUUGAAAGACAAAGUAGUUGCAAUAUUAAGAUAUUGAGAUACCUCCGAUGAGUUUUAUAAUUAUUGCAAAAGUUAGGGUAUUUGAUGACAAUUGAUAGCUAGUUAUACACCUCAACAAAAUGAUAUUGUUGAAAAUAAUAAAAGAAUCAUUGUUGAAAUGAUAAAAAACAUGUAAAAGGCCAAGUCUCUUCAAAAAAGCUUUUAGGCAGAAGUUGUUACAUGUGUAGUGUUCUUAGUCAAUAUGUGUCCUACUAAAGCAGUCUUUGGAAGAACACCUGAGGAAGCUUGGAGUGGUUAUAAGCCAAAAAUUUUUAGUUUUUUUUUUUUUUUUAAACGAAUUUUCGGGUGUAUUACAUAUUCCCAUAUGUUGGUAGAUUGAAGGUUAGCCACGUCUAUCAACUCCCCUUGUGUUCGAAUGCUAUGACUGUUUGGGUGAAUGCACCAUAAGCUUAGGAUAUGUGCCUUUCCUGGCAACAAUUGCUUUUAGGAGAGUUGGUAGCGCCUAGGGUCCUACAAGUGGUAUUAGAGCCGAGGUCAUGGGUUUGAACCUUAGGGGUGUCGUUGGGGGGAGAUUGUUGGUAGAUCAGAGGUUAGAUACAUCUAUUAGCUCCUUUUGUGUUCGAAUAUUGUGGCCGCUUAGGUGAAUGCACUAUAAGGCUAGGGUAUGAGUUUUUCCUAACAUCAAUUGCUUUUAGGAGAGUUGGUAGCGCAUGAGAUCCUACACUAUAUACAAAAAGAGCAUAGUAAAAAAUUUGAUGAUAAAAACGAGAAGCAUAUUUUUAUUGGUUAUAAUGAUGUAACUAAAGGUUAGUAGAGAUGUUCAAUUCCUUGAGAAUAAGAGUUGGAUAUGGACUUAAACACAAAGUGAGGAAAAAAGAGUUGUCUUGAAGAAGACUAUGUGGUAGACAAUGAGCAUCAAAAGGAUUUUAUAAUAGAUAUUUCUACUUCAAUCACACUUUUUUUUAUUAGAAUUUCUCCUAUGCGAACAGAAAUAGAGUAAGAGUCUAAAUCACUAGGAUGCCUAAAACAUUCUCACAUUAUGGUUGGACAUCUAAAGGAUUAUGAAGUCAUGAAAUUAAGAUACUGAAAUUAUUGAUGAAUGUUUAGUUAACUUUUGUCUAUUUGCAGAUCGUGAUAUGAUUUCGAAUGAAGAAGGAACAAGUGAUGCGAAGUGGAUUCAAGUAAUGAAUGAAGAAAUUUAAUCAAUAGAGAAGAGAAAUACAUGGGAGUUAACUAAUCUUCCGGUUGGAAAGAAGCCUAUAGGGAUUACAUGGUUUAUAAGACAAAAUAUAAACCUGAUGGUAAAAUUGAUUAGUUUAAGGCAAGAUUGGUUGAAAAAGACUAUAAAUAGAUGCCAUAUAUUGAUUUUUUUGAUGUUUUUGCAUCAGUUACUAGAUUCGAUACCAUUUGCAUGAUAAUUUCACUUACAACUCACAAAAGGUGGAAAAUUCACCAAAUGGAUGUGAAGUUAGUUUUUCUUAAUGGUGUACUUGAAGAAGAGGUUUUUAUUGAACAAGCAUUAGGUAUAUUAAAGAAAUACAAGAGAAACAAGUUUUCAAACUUAAAGAGACAUUGAAUGGGUUAAAGUAGGCACUACAUGCUUGGUACAUAUGGAUUGAUAACUAUUUAUUUUAACAUGGAUUUCGAAAGAGCCCUUUUGAGCAUACACUUUAUAUAAAAUCAAAUUCUAAUGGAGAUGUAAUUGUUGUAUGCUUUUAUGUGGAUGAUUUAAUUUUUAUAGGAAGAUGUCAACAAAUGUUUGAAGAUUUUAGGGAGGCAAUAAAACAACAAUUUGAGAUAACAUAUUUGAUUCGUGCCUAAUUGGUGUAUCAACUGAUUCAUGUCCAACUGGUGCUCCUUGAUUGAGGGAGUAAUCAACAAAAUUUAUAACCUAUUACACCAUGUACUAGGGUAGCAAAGACAAAGCUACUAUAGCAUAGUGGCUCUAGGAUCGUUCACUGGGAUGGGUUUUCACUUCACAAAUGGUAUUAAUUCAAAGUUGAAUUGGUGCCUUUUCAUUUCAAGGUUAGCUUUAAAAGAAAACAUAAAGAUGAGUUGGAAAAGGUUUGGUUUUAAACUAACCAAAAAUAGUAACUGAUUUUACUUACAAAGAAAAGUGUUUCUUAGAGUUUAGAUCACUAGGCUUAGGUUCCUUAUACAAAAAGGAGAGUUCCGGUCACUUGUUUCUUUUCCUCCCAUUGGGGAUUUAACAUAUAGUUAUUUCCCGAACCGGUGUUGUACAGAUGCUUCCCAUUAAUGGGUUCAAACACUAAAUCUCUCUCACUGAUGCACCUUGCAAUGACUCAUACCUCUCACCUAGCACUUGCCAUUCAAGGUGAUCUUUAACCUUGGAUUACCCAUCAAAAGCUCGCAAGAGAUAAAUAAUGGAUGUCUCCUUGGAGUCCAAAAGCUUACCAAGUGUUGGCUAUUUUAGAAAAUCCUACCUUCAAACCACCUACCAAAAGCUCACAAGAGAUAAACUAGUGCAUCUCCAUGGAUGAAGAUCACUUGCCUUACCAAGUGUUGGCUCAGGUGAAUUGAAGGCUUUUUAAGUUAACUAAAAAGAUAAAAACCAUUAACAGGUCACACUUUCUCUUCAUUAAAAACUAAAACAACAAAACUUCCAAUUUAUGUAUGUGGAAACUUACUCGGCUUUCCUCACUCCAAGAGACGAAGAGCCUAGCCUCUCAUCCUCUAAGGAAAAAUCCUCAGAGUUUGGUUGGCUAGAAAGAAAAAGAAAAUGAAAAUGAAAGAGAAGGAAAAACAGAGCAAGGCUCUGUAUAUUCUAUAUAUUGAUCGAUUCUACAUACUUCUAUCUAUAUCUUUUACAAUGGAUGCAAGGGAAUAUAUAUAGAGAAGUUUUUCCAACCUUCCUAGCUAAGAAAUCUUAUGGUUGGUGGAUUACAAGGAGAAGAAUGGAAAUUUAUACAAAAAUAUCUGAAGAAAAGAUCUAAAAGAGUCGGUGCACAAAUAUCCCAGUUCGCAUGUAGAUUUCUCACGUUGCAUGGUGACUUGCGAAAAUCUCGCAAGUUGAUUUCGCAACUUGGAAUCCAUUUUCGCACGUUGAGCUCCAAGUUCGCAAGUUGAAAAAUCACUUUCGCAAGUUGGGCUUCUCUGUGACUGUGCGACUGUAUUCCAUUUCCAUUUCGCAAGGUAGGCUUUAAUUUCGCACGUUGGAGUUCCAAAUUCUCAAGAUGCGAAUUUGUCCUUCAACUGGAUGCAGUUGUCUUGCAAAGGACAUAUCUUCCUCAUGUCAGCUCCAAUUCGUACACUGUUUGAAGUGUUGGAUUCUUGACUUCCUGAGCUUUGAAAUGGUAUAUAGCAUGUAGAAAAUGGACUUCAGUAAGUGCUCCAAAAGUGCAAAAGAAGACUACAGCUGCUGUCCUCUGUUUUCUUCACUCUGUUUUUCCUCUUUCCAUUGUUCUUUCCUUGCAUACUUUGAACGACUUUGGAAAAGGGCUAUGGAGCUCCAAAGCUUGGUUCUUCAUGAAUUUGAGCUUCCAAAAGCUUUGCCAUGAACUAUAUACAACUCUCCCUCAUUCUUGGAUUGCUUUGGUGUAGCUAAAAGCUAUCAAAAACACCAAAACUUAACACAAUUUGAUUAGAAACGAUUGCAAGGGUCCUUAACAUGUCAAUUGAGUUAAAAGGUAAUAAUUACUACUCAAGAGUGUUUAAAAGAGUUAAUUACAAGCUACAAAAUAGCACUUUUUGAGUAGUAAUCAAUAUUUAGGAUUAAUAUCCUAUUUUCUUGGAGUUGAAGUCCAACAAAUAGAUGAUGAUAUCUUUAUCUCACAAAAAAUUAUACUAUAGAUUCUAAAGCGAUUUAAGAUGGAAUUAUCAUCAACAAUAGAGUGACUAGUGAUGAAAAAGGAAGACACUAGAAAAUUAGUAAAUCUCACAUAUUUCAAGAGCAUAGUAGGAAGUCUUCAUUAUUUGACUUCUACUAGACCAUAUAUUGUUUAUGAAGUGGGAAUUAUCAGUCGAUUUAUGGAAAAACCAUAUCAAUCACACUUGCAAGUGACAAAACGAAUUUUAAGGUAUGUAAGUGGUACUCAUGAUCAUGAAAUUUUCUACCCUUACUUCAACAACUUUAGUUUAGUGGGCUACACAGAUAGUGACAACAAAGGUGAUGUAGAGACUGGAAAAAGUAUUACUGGGUAUGUUUUUUUAUCUUGGAAUAUAAGCAUUCUCAUGGCCAUCAAUGAAACAAUAAGUUGUAGCAUUAUCAACUAUAGAAGUUGAAUACAUGAAAAUUACUUUCGCAACAUGUCAAGCAGUUUGGCUUUGCAGAAUGCUUAAUGAAUUGAAGUAUGAAUAAAAGGGUCCUACAAAGAUUUUGUGUGAUAAUAAGUCUGCUAUUGCAUUGACCAAGAAUAUGAUGUUUCAUGGUAGAAACAAACACAUAAGAAUCAAAUUUAAUUAUGUUAGGGAACUUGUGAAAAAUUAAGAGAUCGAGCUUGAGUUUUGUAGAUCAGAAGAUCAAGUUGCAGAUAUUUUUACAAAGUCACUAAAAUGGAUGUGUUUGAGAGGUUGAAGAUGAUGCUUGGUGUGGUUGAGUUUAUAACUCGAAUUAAGUGAGUCUAUUGAAAUUAUAAUCCAACUUAAAGUCAAAUUAGAAGAAUUUUAGGAAUUUGAGAAAUAUUAGGAAUUGUUAUUUAUUUAGAUUUCUUAUGUCAAUUCGGAUUUUUUGUCUAAUAGGAAUUGAAAUCCUAGUGUAAAUAUGGUUAGUGUGAAAUUAAGACUAAUCUAAUUAAGAAAAUUACCCAAGGAGAUGAGUGAAUUUGGUUUUUGAAAAACUUUUCAAAUCACUACAAUUUUUUUUUUAAUUUAUUUAAAAAGCUCAAAUAUAAAGAGAUAUAGUUAGAGAGAGCAAACACAAAUUUUAUAGUGGUUUAACACCUCUUGCCUACAUCCACUCUCCUCAAGCUCUAACUAAAUGAGGGUUCUACUAUUCUUGAAGCUUCUAAAGUCUUUACACUUGGAUUUUGGCUCCAAUGAACACUUACACACUCCCUUCAAGUAUUCACCAACUUGAAACUUUCAAUGCUCACAAUCUCACUUAAAUAAUAAUGAAAGAAACUCUCAACCUAACUCAAUAAAUGCUCAAAUAUACAACAAAGACUAGGAUGAAUAACAAAGGGUGCACUAGAGGGUAUGCAAGUGAAAAUUAAUGCACCAAAGAGAGAAUGAGAAUUUUAAAUGAAGAAUAAGAGGUUAGACAAUUGAUUGUAGGUAUUAUCUUGUUCAUAAAUGAAGUGAAGCUUUCUAUUUAUAGGUUUCUACUCUCGGGAGAUAAAAAAGUUGAAAAGUGGCCUCAUCCGGUCGAGUUUCGAUUUGACCCGUUGACUAGCUGUUGGACAUUAAAUGUACAGCAGGUGACCGUUAGGUCUUGACUAGGAAAACCUACCCCUUGACCAGGAGAGAUCUCAUCUCCACCUAGGAAUGCAUAACUAUUGGAAAAAAGAAGAUUUUUUGCAUAUCUCGAUCGGUCCUUGACUAGGAAGACUUAACUGGUUGAAUGGUUCUCUAAUUGGUUGAGUUAGUUGACUAGUCUCUUUGACUGGUUCAUCUAUUUUGAUUCAAAAACCUAUCUUUUUAUUUAUUUAUUUACUUUUUAUUUUAUACUUCUAACACAUAAGCAAUGUUUUUAAGUAAAUUAACAUGUCAAAUUUAAAACAAUUUGCCAAAGGUUUGUAUGAAAAUACUUGAGUUUUAAUAAAAAUUUAAUUUUAAUGUACAAACUGAGUAUUUAAAGAUGCAUGAAUUGGUAUAUCCUAAGUACACUUAUGCAUUCACCUUACAAACAAAUUCUAGGCUUGAACGACGGUCUUCAUAUUCUCUUAAACUUGCAUCAUUUGAUCCCUUGAUGAAUAUUUUGUCAUUCCAAUUGAUUUUCUCAAUUAAAACCUAAAACAUAUCUUGAUUUUGAACCAUUAAUAUAAUAAUAAUUAUGGUUUGUUAUCAUUAAAAUGUGAUUAUGAGAACUCUUGGUCUAACAAUUAGUUUAUUAUAAAUAUGCUUGUUAUUAAGUUGAAAAGUAGAAUGCAAUAAAAUAUUAUUUUAGUAAAAAAAUUAUCAAUACCAAAUUAUGUAGAUUUGAACAAGAAGUCAUAUGGACGGAACCCAAUUUCAGUUGAUCAAGUUGAGAUAUUCAGAUGUCACAGGUCUAAAGACAUGGGCGGCCUCAGUCUCAAUAAACUCUAUCUGCCCUUUCAAGAGGUGCAUGUACACCACCCAGUCACCAUCUCUGGCCGGACUUGGCAUUGGCAUCACGUACCCAGCUUCACCACCCCAUGGAAAAUGGAAUGAUCCCAGAGCCGGCCUACCCCACCCGAAAUCCACCUUUGACACUGCGAAUCUCUGCCCUGAUGAUACCACAAGUGCCGGUCCAUCGCUGCUGCCACUGCAGUAUAUCCUUGCUAAAGCAGGCUCUGGACGGUGAGCCUCCACCCAGUCGAUGAGGCCCAAGAAAUGCUCCUUUGUCACUGCCCCUUCCAGGUACUCGUGAACGGCAUCUGCCACCCAACUCAAGGGUUUCUCUUUCAGUUCAUCUAUCAUCUUCUCACCAAAGGGGAUUGACAGCACAUUUCCAAAGUAAGAGGCCAUCACUGCUGAUUUAUCCUCGUCUCCACUGCUUAACCGCCUUCUUCCGUCCACCACGAUGCCCAUCUUGCAUAUCAUUUUAUUAUCAUUUUCCAUGACAGCACUUGCCGCGACCAUCUUCCACAAAAAUGCACUGAAAGACUCUAGUUUAGUUCUCUUGUAGGAGCUGCCCUUGCUGAUACUGGCUAGUGUUUGGAGUAGACUGAGUUGUUCGGCCGUGACAUAGUAUAUGCGGCUUAUGAAAGGAUCAGCACCGCCCGGCUGCGGAGCUCUGGGAGGAGGUAAGGCUGAUAUAAGGACGUACAUUUCAUCCAGGGAGGGAUCGUAGGAGCCUGGACGUCUAAUGUUGAGAAGAGAGCGCCGGAAAGAUGGAACCACAGAUAGUGGCUUGCACAGGGCCAUCUCAGCCCAUGAAACUAGGAACAUAUUAGCAGAAUAUGCGUCAGCUAUCCGAUGAUCGAAUGUACAGCCCACCACGACUCCACCACAUUUGAGCUCAGUCACCUGUCAUUUUCCUCCAUUUGUUUUAUCACAUAGAGUAAUAAUGCCCCGACUAUAUCAUGAUGUGUGUGUGAGUGAGAGAGAGAGGGAGAAGCGUUACCUGCACACAGAGGACACCAUGCUGCUUCUUGGGGACAAGCUUGCCUUCAAUACUAUCGUCAGGGUUGUACAAGCUGAGGUCAUGAAGUUUUGCAUCUGCGUAAGCCUCCGUGAAAUCCACCCCUUGGUUAUUGCAUAGAAGUUCAGGUUCACCCACUGAGUUACUCACUACUUCCCCUGCAAAAGCAUAAUAGGAGACCAGUGCUUGGGCCAAGGCUUUCCUCAGAACCCCAGCCAUGGACCCAAAGGUGAAGUCAUCACCUCCAUUAGCAUUCUGAUGGGGCUUCUUGUAACAGAAAAACAUACUCACAUCUAUAGGAGGCAAAAGCAGAUCGAGGUUAGAUAGCGGCAGCCAAUGCUCCUGCAUUGGCACCUCCGCUGCCACUAGCUCUUUCCUGGUCACAGUCACCGUGAAGUACUUUCCUCCACCACCCAUGGUUUUUAGUCAAGAGAGAAGGAAAUAUGCAGAGGGGAUGGAUAGUAGGAGUGGAUUUAUAGGCCCCUAGGGAGCAAUGAAAGAGAUCCUUUUAGGGUGCCGACACUCAAUUUAUUUGUCCCUAUUGAGUGUAUACUUAGGUUGGGUAGAUUGACUUUAUAAUUGGUAUCAAAGUUACAUAUACUUCUUAAAUAGACCUAAACAUGUAAGAGAAACAUGGUUAACUAAUUAAGUUCAUCCAUCAUGGAAGGUUUUUAAUCAAUCAAUAGCCCACUUUUUAAUGGAAGUGAUUAUGGUAAUUUUGGAAAAAUAGAAUUGACGUAGUAUAUAUUUGCAAACUUCUACACUAUGAAAUAUGGGUCAUCAUUGAAGAUGAGUUGUAUUUGCCAACUAAAAUUAAAAAUAGGGUUAGUAUCCCAAAAAUAAAAAUAGAGUGAGAUGAGCAUGCAUGAUUGGAAGAAACUACAACUCAAUGAUAAGGUCGUUAUGAGUAUAAAUAGGUAUAUAUAUGAGUUAAGGUUAAAUAUUCCUUUUAAGUAAUUACUUGUGAAGGUUAAAAAUGCUUGAUCUAUUGUGUUCCACGAGUUUAUGUUGUGAUAUAUUUUUUGAGUGAUGUGAUGUGUUGGUUAGAUAUUUUGCUAACAUAUGUAGCAUAGCUUUCACCUUCUUAUACUGUUGGAUGGAUGGUUCAUUUUCUAUAUAAAGUUAUAAUUGGACAUGAGAUAAUUGGGAGAAGAAAGUUCAAAAUUCAUUUUAUGACAUCCAAUGUGGAUACGUUAAAUUUUGAAUUUGUUUUGUACCUAUCCAUAAUUAACACUUUUUCUUUUCUUCUAUUAUUUCUCUCUAUUUUUUUUCUUUAUAUUUUUCUUUGGAUUCUCUUGAACCAAAUAUACCCUUAAAGCCUAAAACAAUUUUUGUACAAAUUUUUCUCUCCUUUGAUUGGAGCCUUUUCUAGUUAGGUAAGCAAAAAGGUUUUAAAGGGUAUGUUCGUACCUACCUUUGAUUUUAGAGGAUGGAAAGAUACAAAGGUGUGGACCCCGCAUUUUUCACAUGCGUUCCCACUCGACGGUGUGGCUCGCUUUUAAUUUAUUUGUGAAAAAAAUGAUUUUUUUGGAAAAAGACUUGGAGUUGCCACUUAUUUUUGUUUUAUUUUUAAAGGGAAAAACAAAAUAAGAAAGAAAAACCCUAAGUGUAACUUCUGAAGGAAAAACAAAUCUGUGAAAAACCAAAGUCAGGUUUGGGGGUCAGGUUACCUAUUGGGAAGGUACGGUGGUGAGCUAUAACACCCUUCUAAGCCCUAUAAUAAGGUCUCUACUAAAUAAGGUGAGACAAGUGUGACAAUUGAUAAGGAAAUCAAUAGAUACCAGUGAGAUGGUCCAAUAAUAGAACGAAUCAUGCAUAAAAAUAAGCAAAGUGUGAGUGAGAUUGUACCUUAGCAGUAAGUAAUAGUGCACUAUAAUGGAAACAAGGUUAGCUCAAGUAUACAAUUAUCAUAUGCAUAUCAAAGAGUAAGACAAAGAUCAAACAAUAUUCAUUAAGCAUAGUAGUUGACAAUCAGAAGAGAUCAUAUAUAAGACCCCCAAGAAAGCCCAAUUGAUUUUGCAUGAAUUAAUCUCUUAAAUUCCAUUGUUUCUGGAGUUAUGAAAAUUUAUUCAUGCUUAUUAAAAAUAGUGAACAAUGAGAAAAUUAUUUUAAAUUUUUUUUAAAAAUUAUGAAGCUGCUUGCCUGAAAGAAAAAGGGAAUGAGUUUAUUAAAAACGGGAUUCUUGGUGACCCUAAACCUUAAGGAAAGACAUAAAAUUGAUGACUUAAAAUUAUUUGAAAACUGGAGUAGAUUUAAAAUUAUUUGAAGAAAACUGGAAUUUUAAAAAUUAUUUGAAAAUUGAAAUCUUAAAAAAAAAAAAAUUUGAAAAUUGGAGUGGAAUUAAAACUAUUUGAAAUAAAACUGGAGUUUUGAAAUUUAUUUGAAGAAUGAAGUCUCAAAAAUUAAUUUUUUUUUAAAGAAAAUUAGAAAUUUGAAACAAAAAUUAUUUGAAAAUAGGGGUUCUGAAAAUUAAAUUUAAAAAUUGGGAUUUUGGAAAUUAAAUUUAAGAAUUGGAGUUUUGAAAACUAAUUUAGGAAAUGGAAUUUUGGAAAUUAAAUUUAAGAAUUGGAAGUUUGGAAAUUAAAUUUAAAAGAAAUUGGAAUUUUGGAAAUUAAAUUUAAAAGAAAUUGGAAUUUUGGAAAUUAUUUGAGAAUUGGAGUUUUGAAAAUUAAAUUUAGGAAAUGGAAUUUUGGAAAUUAUUUGAGAGUUGGAGUUUUGCAAAAUAAAUUUAGGAAUUGGAGUUUUGGAAAUUAAAUUUUAAAGAGAUUGAAAUUUUAAAAAUUAUUUAAGAGUUAGAGUUUUGCAAAAUAAAUUUAGGAAUUGGAGUUUUGAAAAUUAAAUUUUGAAGAAAUUGGAAUUUUAAAAAUUAUUUGAGAGUUGGAGUUUUGCAAAAUAAAUUUAAGAAUUGAAAUAUUUUUUUUUUAAAAAAUUGAAUUUGGAAAAUUAUUUGAAAAAUGGAAAUUUUGAAAAUUAAAUUUGAAAAUAAUUAAAGCUUGGGAAGUUAAAGUUUUGAAAAUGAAACUUAAAAAUUGGAGUUUUGAAAAAUUAAAUUUGAAAGAAAUAUGAAUUUUGAAAAUUAUUUGAAAGAAAGUACAGCAGAGGCAGAAUAUGUAGCAGCCAAUGCUACUGUAAAUCAAGCAAUUUGGAUUAGAAAAACACUUGCAGAUCUACACAUGAAGCAAAAUGAGCCAACACAGAUUUAUGUAGAUAACCAAGCUGCAAUUGCAAUUUCAAAUGAUUCUGUUUUUCAUGGCAAGACUAAGCAUUUCAAGAUCAAGUUGUAUCACUUAAGAGAAGAACAAAAGGAUGGUGAAGUUAAACUGCCUUAUUGCAAGACUGAGGAUCAAAUUGCAGAUGUGUUAACCAAGGCUCUACCAAAAGCCAGAUUUGAAACCUUAAGAUGCAAAAUAGGCCUAUGCAACUAGUAAGGCAAGGAGGAGUGUUGGAAACGUGCCUUAAGUUGCUACAGUUAUGGGCAAACAAAAAGUUGCUGAAUAAUUGGUCAAUAGACCAAGUCUUUAGGAAAUAUUUUCUGCAUAUAUAUAUAUAUAUAUGGCUUGAUAUUAGGAAUUGGUUAGACAUGGCUUGAAAUUAGCAAAUUCUCUUGACUUUCUGUUAUGUUUCAGCUCUAUAUGAGGAGCAAUGCAAUGAAUAAAAACAUACUUCCAGAUACCAAGUUUUUUCUUUACUGAAAAAAAAUUUGUUUUUCCUUUGCUGUCAUAAAAUUUCUAUCCUGUUCUUGUGCCAUAUAUCAACAAUUUUAUUGGGCCCUCAGUGGGGUUGAGUAGCAAAGGGAGGUUAUUGGUGCCAAAGAUGCUGCACUGCUUUGCAAAAGGCUUUGUGGACGAUGCAAAACUGGCAUUACCUUUCCCCCACCAGGCUGCCUUUGUUGAGCAGUGCAUUUCACAGAGGCGACAAAGCCUUCUUUGUUCAUGCAACUGUGGGAUUCUUCCUUUUGAUUCUCACUUCUGUUACUUGUUCCUGCCUGACCAACUUUCACUCUAAUGGUGCUUGUUUUAUACUAAAUAUGCAGCCUUAGGCCAAUUUCCACCUUGGAAAUGACUUGAGGAUGGUGGCAGUUUUGGUGUUUUUGCCUUGUAGACAAGUUGUAUUUCUGUUGGACAGGCAGGAGCUCAAGUAUGGGGCUCACUGCAGGUAACUGACAUGUACUAGCUUCAUUUAACAAACUGUUAAUAAAGAAUGAAUGACGAUUAGUUCUAUUGCCUACUGAUUGAUCAAAUAUUUUAUUCUACAAAAACUUGAGUCUGGUGGAUGUUGAAAGGCAGUCUGGUAUUAUUAGGACUAAUGGGGUAUAUUGAGACAAGAGGCUUCAACCUGAGCUGUAUGGCUUUACUUCCAUGUAGAUGGAUAUGUAAAUGGAAACCAGAAGGGAGCCAGGCUGGUUGGAUUCAGAAGGGCAGACCAAAGGUAUAAAUGAAUUGGGGUAAACUAUGAUGGCCUCGUCAUUAAAUUUAUAGAGCCCACAGGGGCAGGGGUCCAUUCUGAGUGCUUCUCUUCAGCUAAAUCCUUGGAGCAAGAAACAUGGUUCUAAUCCAACAUGAUACAGCUUCCCACAUAGCCUCCUUGGGCUUCCACGUAUCCUACAAUAUUCUGGUUUUCUUUUCCCACCAGACUAUCCACUUCAAAGUGAGACUUGGGACACAUCUAAAAACCUUACCUGUCUCCUAAAGCCCGUAAAGAACUUUAUUUUUCUCUAACAAAAAAAAAAAAAAAAAAAUCCUUCAUUAACACUAAUUUAAUUCCAUUUUUGAAUGAAGUCUGGGGCAUCUUGCAUCCAAGGAUCUUACUGAUGUCAUUGAAAUUUAAGGUUGAUUAUUCUAUGAGUUAUGUGUGUGUUUGAAAUUGUUAGAGCUAAUUAAGGAAUGAUUAUGAAAUGUUUAACAAGUGUAUAGAAAGCAUGAAAAACAAAAUUAGAAACUCCAAAAGGAAGCAGGAUGUUAGAAUACCUUGACCGUUCAAGCGAGUAGAAACUAGGAAAAAAUCAUGCUUUCAAUCACUAAUAAAAAGAAAAAUGAGGCUUUUAAAAACUCCGACUUUCAAUUUUCAUGUCAUAAAACAUGAGGCAUAAAGCAUGCACUUGAAUAGUAUUACUACAGUUGUCUUUUCUUGGCCUUUUAUGCCAAUCAUGUAAAACAUGCACCCCCUUUCUUGACCUUUCAUGUCAAUUGUGUAAAGCAUGCACUUGAAUAGUAUUACUACAAUUGUCAUUUCUUGACGUGAUAAGCCACUAAAAAAACAAAAGAAUCACAACUCUCUACAUCACCUUCAUCUCUAAUAUGCUUUUUAUUUAUUUUUAUUGUUUAACAUCAUUUUCUUUUUCUUUUUUUCACUCCAUAUGAAAGUCACCAUAGUUCUCCUUUUAAAACCUUUUUAGUUUCAAUUUUGUAAUGUUUCAUCUUUUUAUAUAUAUUGGUUUUAAUCAUUUUAUUGAGCCCAUUAAACAAAAAAAUGAUAACAUAUAAUAGAUAAUCAUAGAGCACACAAAAUAUAACUUAAAAAUACAAUGGAAAAAAAAUUGAAGUUUGUUAGUUUUUUUUAAAUAUUCAAUUUAUAAUUUUUAAGAAUAAAAGAGUGUGUAAAUACUUAGAGUAAAAAGAUAAUAAUUAUUUUUUUAUUAAAAAACAAAAACUUUUGUUAAUUUUUAUGAUUAAAAAUAAUAUUUUAUUUUCCUUCAUUUUUUUUUAUAUAAUCUAUAAGUUAUAUUUCUUGUUGUCAAAUUUUCUUAUAUUAUUAUUAUUUUAAAUUUUCUAGUCAUUCAUAUUUGUCAUUAUCAUACAUGUUUGAUAUAACUUCAAAGUUUUUUUUUUUGUUAAAUAUAUGGCUAUGAAAUUUUUUAUGUCACAUAAUAUAAUUUUAUUUAAUAUAAUUGAUGAUCUUAAUACAAAUUUAGAAUUAAUAUAUUAAUAAAGUUUAUCAUACACCUUCAUGAAAUCAAAUAUUUAAAGAAUAUUAAAUUUUAGAUGAUUUUGUUACUAAAUCCAAUUUUGAACCCCACGUACAACCUUAAGAAAAAUGUGUACAUUUUUCAUCAAAAUAUAUACAUUCUUAAAAAAUAAAAAAUACAUACAUUUUUCUAGGGUGAAUUGGGUUUGGGGGACAUUGGGGAGUGAUUUGCGACCAUACCUCACCCUUGAAAUCAAAUUUCGAACAGAUUUUAGAAAAUUAAUUACAUCCUUAAGAAAAAUAGCUACAUCCAUUCUUAGAGGUCCUAUCUCCCUUAUCAUGGUCUAUAUAUUCCUUUGGAGACCCUUAGAAAGUGAUUAAAGGUCCUCCUUCAUCCCAUAAUGAACUUUGGAACUCAAGAUACAUUCUUAAGAAAAAUAGGUACAUCCAUUUCAAAGGAAGUUGGAACCAUUAUUUGAUUUAUCAUGGUUUAUAUAUUAUUUUGGGGACCUUUAGGAAGUGACUGGAGGCCCUCAAAAAGUGAUUAAAGGCCCUUUUCCAUCCCAUAAUGAACUUUGGAACCCAAUGUACAUCCUUAAGAAAAAUUGGUACAUCCAUUUCAAGGGGAAUUGGAACCCCUAUUUUCCUUUUCAUGGUCUAUAUAUUCCUUUAGAGACCUUCAAGAAGUGAUUGGAAGCCCCCCCUUACCCUGAAACAGACUUUGGAACCCUAACAAUAUCCUUAAGAAAAAUUGCUACAACCUUAAGAAAAAACGGUACAUCCUUAAGAAAAAUUGGUAUAUCUAAUCCCAAUUAAGAGUGCCAGACCUUCUAUCUCCCUUCUCAUAGUCCAUCUAUUCUUGUGGGUAACCUUGGGAAGGGAUUAAAAGUUGUUCCCUACCCCGAAAUGAACUUUGAAACCCUUGGUACAUCCUUAAGAAAAUUUUUACGUCCAAUUCUUAGGCUAUUGGGACCCUUAUCUUCCUUCCCAUGGUCCAUUUAUUCCUUAAGGGACCCUUAGGAAGCGAUUAAAGGUUGUUUCCCACAUUGGAAUAGACUUUGGAACUUUAGCUACAUCUUUAAAAAAAUUUGGUACAUCCAUAAAAAAAUUUGGUACAUAAUAUCCUAGAGCUACCAAAACCCUUAUUUCUCUUCUCAUAGUCUAUUUGUUCCUUUAGGGACCCCUCGAGAAGUGAUUGGAAGUUGUUUCCCACCUCGGAACAAACUUUGGCUAGGUACAUCUUUUAGAAAAUUUAGUACAUUUAGGAAUGACAAUUUUGCGGGUAAAUAGGGUCACUUGCCUCAUCUCACCCCUAUUGGGACGGGUAUGAGACUAUACUAUUCAAGUAUAGAAUGGAUAUGGGGAGUAUAUAAAAACCCGAAUCAGGUUUAGGGCCGGGAUAGGUUUUGCAAUUACCCGUCCUGCCCCAUAUAUGGAUUACUAAUUUACCCUUAUAACAUUACAAAAUACCCAAAAAGUCCUCCAUAUAUAUAAUCGUUCCUUCCUAAAUUUAUAAGGUUCUUUUUGCUUGUAAGACGGUAAGAGAGGUCUCGUUUUCUCAUUUCUUCUCGUUUUCCCACUUCUUCCUAAAUUGCUUCUUCCCGUUUCACCCAAAAACACACUUUUUGCUCUAAAAACCAAAAUACCAUAUUUGUAGACAACAAACUAUUAGGGUUUCUAUGGAUUCCUCCAUUCCAGGUAAGAAAACCCUAAGUUUUGAGGCUUUGUUAGAAAUAUGACUUGUUUUUCAUAUUUUUCUGGUUUUAGUUAAUGGAUUUGAGAUUUUUUAGGUUGCUUAUUUGUAGAUCUAUGCAUUUUGUCCUCGUAUGGGCAUUUUCAGUUUUGUUGCACAACAAAUGCUUGAUUAAAUGUGGAUGAAGAGACAACAUAACAUAGGUGUCUUUGGAGUGCAAAUCAUUUUGAAAGGGGUUCUUUGUAGUUUAAAUAUGAGAACCUAGAUAGUGUUUAUUGAAAUUCUAAAGACUCAUGUUAUGUUUAAUAGGAUCUAUUUGUUGCCAGAGACAUAAUUCCCUUGGGAAAAAAAAAACAUAAUAUAGAUAAGUGGCUUCAAGUUGUGACAAUAGUAGAAUAAUUUUUUUUUUCAACCUAGUCAAAUAGUUGCAAUAUACCUACCCCGAUCCGCUCUUACCCGACCUGCUUCAUCCCGAAAACACAUUUGGGACAGGGAUGGGAUUAUCAACUCUUUUGUAAAUGGGUACGGGGGACACUAACUCGCCCUGCCUUGAGUUUGGGAUGCGAAUAGGAAAAACAUUAUAUAAUUGGGACGGGAAUGGGAUAGGGAUGACCUGCCCUGUUGCCAUCCCUAGGUACAUUCAAUUCUCGAGCUAUUAGGACCCCUAUCUUCCUUUCCAUGGUCCAUUUAUUCCUUUAAGGACUUUCGCGAAGUGAUUGAAGAUUGUUCCCCACUCCAGAGUGGACUUGGGAAUCCUAUGUACAUCCUUAAGAAAAUUUGAUACAUCUAAUCCUCGGGCUACCAGGACCCCUAUCUCCCUUCCCAUGGUCUAUUUGUUCCUUUGAGGACCCUCGAGAAACCAUUGGAGGUCGUUCCCUACCUCAAAACGAACUUUGAAAUCCUAGGUACAUUCUUAAGAAAAUUUAAUACAUCCUUAACAAAAUUUGAUACAUCUAAUCAUCGGGCUACUAGGACCCCUAUCUCCUUUCCCAUGGUCCAUUUGUUCAUUCAAGGACCCUUGGAAAGUAAUUGAAGGUCAUUCCCUACCUUGAAAUAGACUUUGGAACCCUAGGUACAUCCUUAAUAAAAUUUAGCACUUACCAAGGGUUUCUAAAGGAACAAAUGGACCAUGAGAAGGGAGAUAGGGGUCUUGGUAGCCUAAGGAUUGGAUGUACCAAAUUUUCUUAAGGAUGCACCUAAGAUUCUAGAGUCCAUUUCGGGGUGGGGAAUGACCUCCAAUCACUUCCUGAGGGUCUCCAAAGGAACAAAUGGACCAUGAGAAGGGAGAUAGGGGUUUCAAUUGCCCGAUGAUUAGAUGUACCAAUUUUUCUGAAGGAUGUACCUAGGGUUUCAAAGUUAGUUCCAGGGUGGGGAAUAACCUCUAAUCUCUUCCUGAGGGUCUCCAAACGAAUAUAAGGAUCAUGAGAAGGGGUCUCGGUUCCCUUAGGAAUGGAUGUGUCAAUUUUUGUUAAGAAUGUACUUAGGGUUCCAAAGUUCAUUCUAGGGUGGGGGAGGACCUUCAAUUAGUUAUCAAGGUCUUGAAAUGAACAAAUAAACCAUGAUAAGGGAGAUAGGGGUCCCAAUUUCCCUAGAAAUUGAUGUACUUAUUUUUCUUAAGGAUGUACCUAUUUCUUAUGAAAUUAAUAUAAAAGGUUAGAUACAAUUUUUUUAAUGAAAAAUAUAUUUUCUUUUAUUUAAAAAAUUAAAGAUUUUAACCAAACAAAAAGUUAGAUCCAUGAUGAAGUUAAAACUAAAAAAAGAAAGAUAAAAGCACCAUCAUUUAGUAAAUUUUGAUAUAAUAAAUUUAAAGCAAAACUAAAAAUAAUAAAAAUAGUAAAAUAGUAUUACAAAGAUAUUUUUACUUUUACAUGUGAUAGAAUUUAUAAAAUAAAUAAAUCUUUUAUUUAAUGAUAAUAAUAAAAAUAAUAUCAUAAACCUAUAAAUAAUAAAAUAUAAUUUUUAAAUUUAAACCUUAAUUUAUCAAAUGUAUUAUUAUAAUUAAUCUUUGAAAUCAUCAAGUAUAUUAUUUAUGGGAUAAUAUUUUUAUUUUUUUCAUUAUAUAUUUGUGUUUUUAUUUAAAUUGUUAUAUUAACUAUUUAUUUUAUAUUAUCAUUUUAAUUUAAUAUGUCCAAAAAUAAUUAAAAUUAAAGAAAUUUUAUGAGAGAAUACAUGAACAUAUUAAAAGAAAUGUCAAAUGAAAAAGAGAAAAAUAAUAAUAAGAAAUAUGAUAAGGAAAAGUGGGUUUUGACUCACUAAUAUGAAAAUAUAUGAAAAAAGAAUCCCAAAAUUUUUAAAUCGGUAAUAUCUUCAUUUGUUUAAAAAUAAUUUGAAAUAUAUGCACUUGUAAAUAAAUCAUCUAAUUAUUCCUUAAAAUAGUCAUUUUACUUGUGAUGUCAUCAACAUUAAUUCACAAGACUCUUCCACGUGAAUGUUUCCCUAAGUUUAUUAUUAUUAUUAUUUGAGAUUUUUUUUUCUUUCUAGAAAUUAAACAAACACCUCUUAGAAAGUGAAAAAAAAAAAAAUUCUAAAUAAAAUAAUAAUAAUAAUAAAUCUAAAAGAAAGGGAAAUAUUUAUGUAAAAAGGUCCAAUCUAGGGAAUAAUUAGAUGAUACAUUAAAAAUGUAUGUAUUUCAAAUUAUUUUUAAAUAGAUGAAUAUAAUAGUAAUUUUAAAAAAUUUAAGAUUCCUUUUUUCAUAUAUUAUUAUAGUAGUGAAUCAAAACUCACUUUUUCUAAUAUAAUAAUAUGUGGUAAUGAAUAUGAUGGUAAGGGAUGGAAAAAGGGAAAAUAGAAAAAAGAAAAAAAGUAGGAAGGUGGUAACAGGUGAGAAUGUGUGAGAGAGUUGAUAUGAGGGAAAUAGAAAAAAAAAAAACAAAGUGGUAAGUGUAUUUGUCAACAACUUUUGAAGUAAGUCCUCAACUAAUAAAAUAUAUGAAGAGGUAAUAGUUUUUCUCACUUUACAUUAAAAUUGAAAAGGUAGAUAUACUUUGUUUCCUUUUGUGGGCCGUGAUCCUCAAAGCUGGUAGGGCCUCAAAAAUUCUUCUUUUCAGUAUAUACUUCGUUAAGAUCAUGAAUUCUGGAGCUUAUAACCUAUAACUAAAGCUUUAAAGGUUAGUGAAUCGGAAAGAGGAAAUCAAUUUUUCAUUGUUGAGUUUUGUGUAUAUUUUUUGGGAGAAAGAAGAAAAUAGUACUCCUUAGGGUCUUACCAUUAUCAUACACAAUCCUCAGAACUUCAUUAUAUCACUCCAAAAAUUCACUCUUCAUAUUAUGACCAAGACAUUCACCAUAUUGGAAAGAGAAAUUAGAAGGACCUGAUAAACUAUAAGACGGAGGGAUGAAGAAUCUAAGAAGUCAUAUGGAUGUAAGCCAAUUUCAGCUGAUCAAGUUGAGAUAUUCAGAUGUUAAAGGUCUAAAGACAUGGGCGGCCUCAGUCUCAAUCAACUCUAUCUGCCCUUUCAAGAGGUGCAUGUACACCACCCAGUCACCAUCUCUGGCCGGACUUGGCAUUGGCAUCACGUAUCCAGCUUCCCCAUCCCAUCGAAAAUGGUAUGACCCCAGAGCCGGCCUACCCCACCCGAAAUCCACCUUUGAGGCUGGGAAUGUCCUCCCUGAUGAUACCACAAAUGCCGGUCCAUCGCUGCUGCCACUGCAGUAUAUCUUUUCUAAAGCAGGCUCUGGACGAUGAGCCUCCACCCAGUCAAUGAGCCCCAAGAAAUGCUCCUUUGUCACUGCUCCUUCCAGGUACUCGUGAACGGCAUCUGCCACCCAACUCAAGGGUUUCUCUUAUACCAAUCUUGGGCCAAGUAAGUGAAAUAUCAGGUGCUUUUGGGCAUGAAUCACUCAAUUGUUGACUUGUAGAGGUAGCCACCCUACCAAGAAGAAAAUAGAAGUAUAUUGCAUGUGUUUCAUAUGAGAAACGAAAUAUGUGGCUUAUGAGAUCACACAUACCACAACUCAGAUCGAGGGAAUGGGAUACAGGGUUAGUAAUGAUUGGGGCGAUCACCUUAUAUUAAAUAAGGUUUUCAAGUUAUAGGUAAUUAUUGAAUUAUUAUAAAUCUUUGUGUUUGGAUUUUCUCUAUCUUUGCACCUUUUCUUUUAUUGUGAUUUCAAUUUUAUUAUUAUUACAAUUUUUUAUUGUUUUGAAGAUCUAUUAAAAAACAUUAAAAGUGCCCGAGUGUAUACUUAGGUUGGGUAGAUUGACUUUAUAAUUGGUAUCAAAGCUACAUAUACUUCUUAAAUAGACCUAAGUAUGUAAGAGAAACAUGGUUAAAUAAUUAAGUUCAUCCAUCAUGGAAGGUUUUUAAUGAAUCAAUAGCCCACUUUUUAAUGGAAGUGAUUAUGGUAAUUUUGGAAAAAUAGAAUUGACAUAGUAUAUAUUUGCAAUCUUCUACACUAUGAAAUAUGGGACAUCAUUGAAGAUGAAUUAUAUUUGCCAACUAAAAUUAAAAAUAGAAUAAAUAUUCCAAAAAUAAAAAUAGAGUGAGAUGAGCAUGCAUAUAUAUAUAUAUGAGUAUAAAUAGGUAUAUAUAUAAGUUAAGGUUAAACAUUCCUUUUAAGUAAGCAAUUACUUGUGGAGGUUAAAAAUGCUUGAUCUAUUGUGUUCCACCAAUUUAUGUUGUGAGAUAUUUUUUGAGUGAUGUGAUGUGUUGGUUUACAUAUUUUGCUAACAUAUGUGGCAUACCUUUCUCCUUCUUGUCAUGUUGGUAUAUAAAGUCAUACUUGGACAUGAGAUUGAGAGAAGAACGUUCAAAAUUCAUUUUAUGACAUCCAAUGAGGAGAUGUUAAAUUUUGAAUUUGUUUUGUACCUGAUCCAUAAUUAACACUUUUUCUUUCCUUUGAUUAUUUCUUUCUAUUUUUUUCUUCAGAUUCUCUUGAACCAAACGUAACCUUAAAACCUAAAACAAUUUUUGUACAAAUUUUUCUCUCCCCUGAUUGGAGCCUUUUCUAGUUAGGUAAGCAAUUUUCGUACCUACCUUUGAUUUUAGAGGAUGGAAAGAUACAAAGGACUCUUGUAGCUCUUGAUUGCAAAAAGAUUUUGCAGCAAAAGAGACCUAUAAUAAUAAGCUAUAUUCAAAUUGUCAAGCUUCCUCUAGAGGUAUUUAUCUAUGUUGUCUUUUAGAUAUUUUUCCAACACCAACAUAACACAAAAUGCUGAUGUGUUAUAUUAUGAAUGACCAUGGGGUAUAAUCAACAUACUGUUUUAUACAAUAACCUUCGUUUUUUGUAUUUAUUCUAAAAUUGUAACCUAACUAACAUACUGUCCAAGGUUCAUCCAAAAAUUUUAGAACUUAAAGCGUUAAUUACAGAAAAGAUUAUGGUGUUUGUAGCUACUCAUUUAGUAGCCUUUAAACAAAGCCUUUGGGUCCCGGAAAAUUUGAGGGAAAAUGCGAGGGAAAGAAAAUGUAAAGGAAAAGUAGAAGGAAAGAAAAAGUGAAGGAAAAUAAAAAAAUAGAUUAAAAGUUGAUAAAUUAUUUUUUUUGUUACUUCAAACUCAUUUUAUUUAUUUUAACUCAUCAAUAUAAAGAUUAAAUAAUUUAAAAAUAUAUAAGUUUUUAAUUAGUUUUAAUUAUAUUUGAUUUUCUUUGAUAUUUUUCAUAGGACAACCAAACAUGAGAAAAUCAUUUUCCUUAGCAUUUUUUUUAUUUCCUUUGUACUUUCCGGGAACCAAACAUAGCCUAAGUAUAUAUGCUUGUGUAUAGAUUUAGUUAUCCUGAAUUUUCAUUGAUAUAUACUAUUUUUAAAAGUUUCUUAAAUUAAAUAAAAAGUGAUAGUUUUUUUUCUUUCCUAUUAGUAAAACCAAAAGUAAUUUUCAAAAUAUUUAUAUUUGUUAACUUUGCUCAUGCAAGUCAUUUUUACAAAUUUUUUGAUAGAAGCUAUCAUUUUAUAACCAAAAUUAUAAAAUUAGAAAAUUAGAUUAUUUUUUAAUUUAUUUUUAUUAAAUUCAAAUGAUAUGGAACAAUAAAUCAUGGAAAGCCAACAUAGCGAAAAUAAGUUAUGCUUGUUUUUAGCAUAUUAAUUAGCCUAUUUUAUUUUUGUUAUUUUUCUUUUCUAUUGUAACCAAUAGUUGGUUAAGUUGUUUUUUAGUUGAUCUCUACAACUCCUUAUGCGUGACUUCUAUGAUGUAAAGCUUUUUGGCUUCUUUGCUUUAUAUCCCUAUACUACAACUUAUUCUGAUCAAUCAAUUGAAUGAGAAUCUAUCAUUUUCUCUCCAUUCUCCCUUUGUAAUAUGGCAUUAGAGCGUCUUACCUCAGCUGCUCUCUAAAAUGGCUCAUGGUGGUCAAUAUAAUAAUGCUAAUAGAUUUCAGCCCUUCACACCCCCUCCAUUUGGUAGCACUGUAGUGCAAUCAGAUCUGUCUUUCAUGGAGGACAACAAUAGCCCCUUUUUCUUGCAUAGCGGCAAUCAUCUAUGCUUGGUGUUUGUUUUGCGUCUCCUCACUGGUCCGAACUAUAAUACAUGGAGUUGGGCCAUGAUGAUGGCCCUCAACGCAAAGAAUAAGCUCAAAUUCGUAGAUGACACUUUUUCACAACCCAUGGCCGAUGAUCCUACAGUUUAAAUCUGAUCCUAAUACAACAACAUGGUUACGUCUUGGCUCCUUAACAUUGUCUUAAAAGAGACAUUUGAUAAUCUUUUCUAUCUCGAAGUUUUGACCUAAAAUAGGAUAUUUAAAAAAAAAAAUCGGAAAGUAAACCGAUUUCCAAAAUAAUGCCCAAUCUAGUGUGUCUGUGCCACGUAGGAGUCCAAGUUAAGAAACCGUAGUCACCAAUUACAGUUUUGAUUUUUUUUUAAAAUCGGUCAAAACCGUAGUUACCAACUACGGUUUUGAAUCAUUUUCAGUUCCUUUCCCUUUUCGAUUAGGUUUCUUACCUUUAGGGUUUUGUCUUCUUAUUCGUCUUUCCUGUUGUCUCCCGUUGCAUCUGGUUGUCUUUGGUUCAUCCUUCGCUCAAAUUCAGUAUUUUCCAAAUUUUAAUCUUGUUCUAUCAUUGUUCAAGUAAGAUUUAUGAGCUUUUCAGUUUACAUAAAUUUUAUUUUAUUUUAUUUUAUUUUUUGUAAAUAUGUUUGGUUUUCACGUAUUUUAGUUUGUUAUUGUUUUUGAUUUUCAUCUUGAGCUUGGUAAAGAUGUGUUUGGUUUUUUUAUUUUAUUUUCAUUGUGAGCUUGGCAGAAAGAAAAAGGCCGGUUUUGUUUUGGUAAAGAAAAUGAAUAUGGAAUUGGGGGCCACCAUGAAUUUUUUUUGUUAAAGAUACCAAAAAUGGAGGGGACCACUAUUAAGAACUCCAAAAAUGGAGGGUACCACAGUUACAAACUCCAAAAAUGAAGGGGACCACUCUUAAGAACUCCAAAAAUGAAGGGGACGAGCACUGAUUUUUUUGUUAUAGAAAUAGAAAAAAUCGGAGUACUCCACUUUUCAAGGGCCAAUGAAUAGGGCUUUAUCUUAAGCUAGGAGAUUGAAGGUGUGGGGUUGUUUUUGGUUUCUACAUCAUUCUCCAAAUUAUGGGAAUGUUUGGUUGCCUAGAAAAUAGAGGAAAGUAAUGCUAAAGCGUGCAUGUAUGACUUGUCAUUUAGGUGGGGUAGAACUCCAGAAAAUGAUAUCAGAAUUUCCUCUACAAUGUGAGUCACUCGAUGGACCCAUUCCUCUAUGAUAAAAUAGAGCUAGUUGGUUUCAUUAGUGGUCCUGAGUAUUCUAAUCUUUUUCUUACUUGGUGGGUUUCAAAUUCCCUAUUGCUUGGUUGACCUUAAAAUUCAGGAAUAUGAUCUAGUGGUGAGAGAUAGAGCUAGAAAGGGGAAAGUUAUGAGGGUUAAAACAGAGUCAUCAUGGGUUAGUUCUGGUCUAGAGAUUUAAGGCAUUAUUUGCAUCCUCUAAGGAGUCUCAAACUAAAUAGUUUUAAAAUUUUCAAUAUUUCAACUCUACUUGAUUUAGACUCUGCUUGGCUAUUCUUGGGAUUUGAUUUUCUAUAACCAUAAGUUUGAGACCUUAUCUUUAAUUCUUUGUUAGGCUCAUAGUAAGUUAUCAAUGUUCAUGGGUGGAACAUAUGAAAAUUGGCAAGAUUUAGAAGAUAAAAGCAACUAUGAGAUUGAAUUAAAUACAUAAAACCUAGUACUAACAAGAUUUAGAAGAUAACAUCAAAUAUGAGACUGUAUUAACGCCAUUAACACAUCUAAGUGACUAGAAAACUUCCCAAGAAAAAGUCAUAAACAAUCUUGAAACUGUCAUACGAGAUUUUCAAGCCUUAGAUCAAGGCAUUAGCCCUUCUCUUAUAUCAACUUUUAGCUGUUGCCAUUUGUCUCAACCAAAAAUAGGAAGUGCCCAAUUUAUUCUAUGUUAUUCCACUGACACCAUUAUGUACCCAUAUGGUCUUUACAAAAGAGGAAAUAACAUCAAUCAUUAUUUUGCUCAUAGUAACACAAAAAAUAUGUCCAUAUAAAAAUAUCUCCUAGUUUUUAUGUAGGGUGAGGCAAUGUUACUUGCACCACCUAGUCCUAAUUUUGAUUGCAAAAUUGUUGGCCCAUAAAUUGAUGGAUCCAUAGGCAAAGAUUUUUUAGUAGCACCCAAGUUAACUUCGCCUUUGAUGUCCUACAAAUUCAAAAAAAAAAUCACAGAUGCAUGGUCAAAUAAAAUAUUGAGCAAAACUAUGAGAAAACAAUAUAGUCAAGUAGUUAUAGGGGUCAGCUGAGUUCGUGCCUGGAUUUGUUGCAAGGCCGCAAACAUGCUCCUAGAAUUACCUUAUAUUAACUGGCUGAAUCCACAACAAGAACAAGAUAAAUGACUGUGUUGUUUCAGCUAUGUAAAAGGAAAAGACAAUUUCAUCUCAGGUACACCAAUAAGGUUACAAGUCUACUUUUGAUGAUUGGUGGCUGAUUUGAGAAGGGCCAUCCUAUUGGCAUCAAUUUUAUUAAAAUUAAAAUUAAUAUUCAAUAUAUUUAUAAAUUAAAAUUAAAAUUAAUUUAUAAAUGAUUUUUUUCUAUAAUUAAAAUUAAUAUUAAAUAGAUUUAUAAAAUGUUUAUUUGUUUUCAUUUUUAAUAUUCAAAUAAUGUUUAUAUAUAUAUAUAUAUAUGAAUGAUUUUUUUUCUAUAAUUGUGUAUUUGAUAUUUUAUUAAUAUAUUUUUUGUGGUGAUUUAUCUUUUAUUUAAUUUUAAGAUUUAAAAUCAUUUUCGACUUUUAGGUUUAAUAAAAUAUCAAGUGAUUUAUGAAUAACAACAUAAUUAUUUAAAUUAUAUAUUAUUUAAUGGUUGAUAACAUUUAAUUUUAUUUUAAUAUAUGAUAUUUUAUCAACAAAAAAAAAUAUUGGUGGAUUAUUUUUUAUUUAAUUUUGAGAUUCUUGUAAUUGUUUAGCCUUUUAGGUUAAACUAAACAUUUAUUGAUUUAUAACCCACUAUCUAAGUUUUAAAUAAAAAUUUUAUGAAACAUUUAUCUAUAAAUAUAUUUGUAUCAUAGAUAACUAUUUAAAUAAAAAAUUUAUUAUUAUGAAGUGAUUUAUAUUUUUCUCCCUAAUGUGUAAGAAGGUGUUUUAUUAUAUAAUUGUGUAUUCACGUGUUAAAAGAUUAUAUGCAAUUUCUCUUUAGCAUAAUUGUAUGUGUGUUUUGUAAUUAUUUUAAUAAACAAGUAUGUUAAGUUCAAAACACAAAGACUUGCUAUUAUUUUCAUUGAUUAUUAAACCAUUUGAUAUUGUAUUUUUUGUAGGUAAAUCAUGUUUGAAUAUAUUGUUCCUAGAAUUUACUUUGGUAAAGGAAAAAUGUUGAGGACAGAAACAGAUGUAAAGUAUAUUGGAGAUCAAGUUGUAAUUGUGCCUUUGGAGUUCAACAUAUGAACACUUGUUAUCUAUGAUAUACUCGAGAACUGGCAUUGACAAAAAACAAUUACAAUUAGUCCUCAACUGUAGGUAUCCUUUAAAAAGGGAAAAUAGGUUCCAACCUUGUCCAAUAUGGGAUGAUAAUAGUUUAUCCCAAAUGUUGAAAUUGAUUAACACAUUUAGAAUGGACGAAAUUGAAUUGUAUAUUGAACAAGUGCCAGUACAACCACGAGUGAGAGGGCAAUUAUUGGGUAACUUCACACAUUUAUUACUUAGAGAAAAUGAUAAUGUUGAGGAAUUUGAGUAUGGUUGUGAACCUAGUAGUGCCCCAGUUGCAAUGACUUAUGAGUGUAGAGCAGAUAAAGAUGAAGAUGAAUGUGAAUCCUAAGAAGGUGAUGAUCAAAGUGAGAGAGUAGGAGAUGUUCAACAUGAUGGCCAUGGGGUAUUUGAAUUUAUGGAUGAGGAAAACAAUAAUGUUAAUGUUGUUUUAUCUUUCUUAGCUCUUUACGAAGCAAUGGAAAGUGAACAAGGGAGAUAUGUCUCUGUAGAUGGGGAAGGUUGUGAUAUGUCAAAUAACCUAGAUUCUGAGGACCCAAUAGAGUUUUCCUCUGUUCAGUAUCACUCAGCAUCAUCUUUGUAGUUUGAAAAUGUAGAAAACAUUGGUAAUGUCGUUUUAAGUGACUGGACCCCAUGGGGGAACACUAAUAUUGGAAACUCAGGUGGAGAGUUCAUGGUUGGCCAAGUUUUUAAUUCAAAAGCAGAUUUAUAACAUGCUGAGAAGUUGUAUUCUAUUAGUGCACACCAAGAGUACGUUGUUGUUUCAUCAACUAAAAAGUUGUUCAUCUUAAGAUGCAAGAAGGCUGAGCAAUCUCAAUGUCCAUGGAAACUUCAUACUAUGGUUGUAAAAGGUACAACUUUAUUUGCAAUCAAUAAAUACAAUAGUUCGCACAAAUGUGUAAAUCCUUGCUUGAAUCGGGACCAUCAACAAUUAGAUUCCAACUUGAUUGCUAGUCAUAUCCAAGGAAUGAUUAAGGCAUAAUUCACAUUGUCAGUGAUUGCUAUUCAAGCAAGUAUUGUGGAGAAAUUCGGAUACCAAAUAUCAUACAAGAAGGCAUCUAAAGUGAUGCUUAAAGCACUUACAAACUUCUUUGAUGAUUUUUAUAAGUCAUCUGCAAAGGUGCCAUAUUUUUUCAUUGCCUUAGAGUAGGAAAAUCCAUGAUGUGUUGUAAUUUCAAAAACAUUUCCUGGUAUUAUGGAGAAUACAAAGAUAUUUCAACGAGUUUUUUGGACAUUUCAUCCAUCUAUUGAAGGAUUCAAACAUUAUCAGCCCAUACUCAGUAUUGAUGGUACACAUUUGUUUGGGAAGUAUAAAAGAACUUUAAUGAUUGUUAUGGGUUAUAAUGGAAAUAAUCAAUUAUUCCCAUUGGCUUUUGCCCUAACAGAUGGUGAGAAUAUUGAUAGAUGGGGAUGGUUUUUGGCAUGUAUUAGAACUACAAUAACUCAUAGGAGAGGACUUUGUGCUAUAUCAGAUCGACAUCCAGGCAUUAUGGUUGCAAUGAGCGAUGUUCAUCUUGGUUGGUUUGUGCCAUACGCAUAUCAUAGGGUUUGUAUGCAUCAUCUUGCCAACAAUUUUAUGACUCGAUUUAAGGAUAAAAUAUUGAAAAAUUUGAUGUACAGAGCAGCCUUAGCAACCAAGAUUGAAAAUUUUAAUAAACAUAUGAACACAAUUGGGAGGAUUAAUGCAACCACACAACAAUGGUUGGAAGCAAUCCCUUUUGAGAAAUGUGCGCUCUCUCAUGAUGAAGGUCGAAGGUAUGACAUCAUGACUACAAACAUGUUAAAGGUGUUCAAUAGUGUGCUUAAAGAGGCUCAUAGCUUACCCGUAACUGCUUUGGUUCAAUUGACAUUUUUUCACCUAAAUAGUUACUUUGUUGUGAGAAUGGAACAAGGUGCUAAUUGACUUGCUUCAAAUGAGGAAUACACUCCAUAUGUCAAUGCUAAGAUUAAGGUAAAUGUGGUUAAGGCAGGAUCUCAUGAGAUUGUUUUAUAUUAUCACAUCCAAGGACGAUUCCAUGUGAAGACUAGUAAGGGUACUAAGAGUAGCUCAGCUAGUGGUCGAACAUAUCGCGUCAACUUACAUGAGCAUGCAUACAUAUGUGGUAAAACACUCAUAUAUGGAUUCCCAUGUAGCCAUAUUCUAGCAGCAUGUCAUUUUCGUUCAGUUGAUUUUAGACCACUUAUUCAACACUACUACAGUACACAAUCAUACUAUAAUACUUGGGCACCCUUGUUCCAUCCCAUUUUCAAUGUCUAUGAGUGGCCUCCUUAUGAUGGUCCGAUUAUCAUGCCUUCUGAGUCGAUGAAACGUGCAUCAAGUGGACGACCUAAAUUAAGUCAUUUGCAUAAUGAAAUGGAUGUUAGAGAGGGCAAGACUUCUAUUACAUGUGGGUUAUGCAAACAAAGUGGCCACAAUCGUUGCUAUUGUCAAAACAGUAAUAGAGUUUAUUAGACCGUGUGAUGUAUGCGUGUAAUUUUCUUGGAUAUUGUGAUGUAAGCUACUAUGAUACUACCUUUAUGCAAUUAUUGGAUUUGGUUUGAUUAUAAAUAUUGAUGUUAUUUCCACAAUCAGGUUAUUUGUAUUUGGAAUAAUGUCCAUACUAUAGGGGAAACUCUAUCAAAAAUUUGAAAUUUUCUAUUAAAAAUGGUAACAAAAUACUCCAUUGUAUUUGUAUCUCUAAUUUUAAUUUAGACUAGUAUGACUUGUUUAUUGGUCAUAAAUGAAUUGAUUUACUUAAAUUUAUCAAAUUGAUAUAUACUUAAUAUAGGGAAAACUCCAUAAAUUUUUAAAACUUUUCCAUUAUAAAUAUUUUUAAUUUAAAAACAAUAAGUAUUGUUUAUUUAUCUUCACAAUUUUGUUAUAGAUAUGGAGUAUAAAGGACAUAGUUCUGAUCCAGAUCCAUUAGAUACGUUUGUUUUGGUUCUACAGGAUAGACAUAGGUCUCAUUUAGUUGACUCUGGCCAGGUAUAUAUGUAUAUGAAAGCACAUAAUAUCUCUUUAAAGAAUGAAAAAUUUUCAAGUUUAUUAUCUAAAUGAUUUAUUUGUAUUUUUACAAUUUGCUUCAGUCUUGACUUUUUGACAACAUAUAUCUAGGUCUAUGUAGGAAUGGGAGAUGGAUCCUCGUCUUCGAUCUUAUAUUAUUCAAUCUAGAUUUUAUGGUGUAUACCAUAUUGGACACAUUACACUAGAUUGAGGACUGAUCACUAGUCUAGUUGAGAAAUGACAUCCUAAGACACACACAUUUCACCUACCUGUUGGGAAAAUGACCAUUACUUUACAGGAUGUUGCUGUCAUAUUAGAACUUUGUAUUCAUGGGCUUCCCAUCAUUGGCACAUGUGACAUAGAUUGGUCACUGCUAUGUUAUGAACUUUUAAGUGUGACUUCCCCUACAUCUGAGAAUAAAGGAUUAGCGAUAUCGACAUGAUGGCUAUGUCACCAGUUCUCUCAUCCACCAAUUGAUUCAGAUGAUGUCACAUUAGAGCGGUAUGGACAAGCUUUCAUAUUAACACUCAUAGGUUCAACGCAUUUACAGACAAGAAGGGUACCCACAUCCAUAUGUGUUAUCUCCCACUGUAUAGAGACUUGACUCAUACAUUUAUGCAUAGUUGGGGUAGUGUAGUAUUAGCACACUUAUAUAGGGAGUUAUGUCGAGCGAGUUUGGAUGGUGCCAUCGAUAUUGUUGAAUAUGUCACACUAUUACAGGUAUAAUUAAUUAUUCACAUUAGAUUAAAAUUUAUAGUUGUUUCAAGUUUAUAAUUUAAGUAAAAUUUUAAUGUUACAUUUUUUUCCAAUUGUGGUCUUGGGAGAGAAUCCAUGUGGGUCAACCAGAUUUUGGUUGACCACCAACCCCUCUAGCAACUCAGCAUUUAGAUCAUGAUGCAGCCAAUGAUUUACCAGUUAAGGGUCCUAUUGGAGUACACCAUGGAUUAUUGGAUGAAGACUAGGGAUUACAAGAUGAGGCAUUGUUAGAUGAGGGUUCACCAACUAAUCCGUUAGGAUGUAGGUGGAGAGUACCUUUAUCAUGGGCUCAAAAUCCAUCACGUGUGUUGACAUUUUAUCAAGACCAAUUAGAUUCAUAGACCCAUGACCAAGUACAUAUAAGAUGCAAUGUGCUAUUGUUAACCAUAUAAACAUUAACAUUAUUAAUGUCAAAUGUUGAUUUUAACAGGUUUUAUGGGAGCCUUACAUGGGAGACUUAGUUGUCUAUAUUCAAGCGAUAUCUCUAGCAGACCAGAGAUUUGGCAGACGAUGUCACCUCUUAUCUGCUUUGACAUUGUCAAGUGGCAUCGACAGAUGCGAGUGUUGUGACAAUUUGGCCUCUAAUAAGGGAUACCUCCAUCUUGUUCCAUAGAGCAAGACCUUCAUUCUGUGGAUAGGCAAGGACAACAUAAGUAUGAUUAGGGGGCAUUCCAUGCACAGUAUAUUAUCUUAUGGGCUAGUUGUGCGAAGCAUAUUGCAACAACACCGUCUAUGACGGGUGCUAUGCAAUUUCAUGAACCAUAUAUGGAGUGGUACAGACGUCAUAUAAGACAUUUGAUCACACCCCCUCUCCAUAAAGAUCAGAUGAGGUAUCAUAGUACAACAACAACUACUCAAUUGUUGGUAAGAUUUUUUAAUUUAGAAAUGGUUUAUUAAAUUAUAAUUAAUAAAAAAUCAUCUUUGUCUAUUUUAAUUUUUUUAUUUAUAGAUCACUGGUAUGGUUGAGAUUGCUAGUCGAUUUGUUGGGCCUACUUCAAGUGCAUUAGGUGACAUUCAUCGGAUUGCUAUUGAUAUUUUGCAUGUUAUUGGAGAAGAGCAUCGCAUACAUUCAGUCCGUCAGUCACUUACAUCAUCAGACCCAUCCAUGAGACCACCUAUGUCAUCCACUACAGUUAGGAUGCAACCUAUUCGAGGCCGAGGGAGAUAUAGGUGAGCUGAUUAAUAGCCUCGAUGAUCUAUGCAUCCACCCGAGAUUAUGUUAGCACUAUCCACAUCAUCUGCCCCAUUUGUACCUGAGGUUUUCACAUUUCCCCCUUCACCCCUACCAUCACCUUCACCUAGACCUUCUCCCUUAAAGCACGUCGCAUCAGAUACUACUCUACCAUCACCUGUAUUUCCUCCCAUAGAGGCCACUAUACCUUAUGUCACUACACCAGAGACUACCCCACCAUCUACUAAUCUGCCAUAUCCUCUACUUUCUCUUGAGGAGACCACUACACAUGUCACCUCACCAUCAUCACUUGUAUCUCCUCUCUUCGAGCCCACUAUAUAAGAUGUUAUUGCACUAGCUACCACUACAUCAGAUGUCAUUCUUCCAUCUCCUAUAUCACCUCUCCUAGAUGCUACCAUAUUAUAUAUCACUUUACCAUCACCUACACCUCUUCCCAUAGAGACUACCAUGCAUCAUACCUUACACAUGUUACACAGUUAGAUGUAUUCCCACCUAGACGAUGUUGUGAUCCACGUAGACGUCGAGUCUUGCCUCCAUCAACUCUAUCUCAACCUAUACAUACUGAGACAUGACAUAUUGCAUAGAUAGAUUCGAAAAAGAUGUCUUUGUAUCAUAGGCGUCUACAGAGAAAGAGGAAGACCCCAUCAUGUGGCACUCAUUGAGGAUUGUUUUUUAGUUUUUGUGUUUAUUUUCAUUUGCAUUAUAUUGUUAACUUUUAUGUGUGUGUGUGUGUGUGUGAUAUUAUAUACCAUUUGCAUAUAACAAUCCAACAAUCUAAAAAAUUGGUUUUAGGUUUAAAUUUAAACUAAUUAUAUUUAUUACUAAUUAGUUACAUACAACAAUAACACUAUAUUGAUAUAGAAAAAAUAAUGCAUUAAAAAGAUUUACAAUCUAAACCUCCAAUCAAAAUAAUUCUUAAACUAAUACUACUUACUAACUUGAACAUUCACAUGAUUUGAAAUUUAAACUUAAAAUAUUGGUUUUAGGUUUAAAUUUAAAGUUAUGAUCACCAACUACUAUUUUGACUAUUUUUUAAAAAAUUCAAAAAUCGUGAUUACCAAUUACGGUUUUGUGAUGUGAAUACCCACAUGAAUAAGACACACAUCACUUUAAAAAUUAUUUUGAGAAUAAAAUUAAUUUAUGAAUUUUUUAUUUUAAAGAAAUCAUUUUUGCCCAAAACUCCCAUUAGUACCCAAUAAGGAACAUUUGUCUUAUUCUCAAUGAAUUGACAAAAAUAUUUCAAAAACAUUUUCAUCUAUUUACCAAAAAAAUAAAAAAUAAAUAGUGAAUUGAUUGAGAAAACAAAGGUAUUUUCUUUCUAGAAUUCUAUAUUUUAAGAAGUGGAAAAACAAUUUCUAUUAGGUUGGCAUUUUAAGUUUAAAAUUUUAAGCCUUUCCAUUCCAUUUUGAUCCCAUUUUGAAAGGAAAAAUAUGGGGAAAAAAAAUGUUGUAUUUAAGUAAUUUUCCAAUCAUUUACCCACUUGAAGUCAUAUUAUAUUUUGUACAAAUGCAUAAUUGGCUUUAAUUUUUUCACAAAGUUACAAAAUAAUAUUAUAUUCUUCAUUAUGAGGGUAUAAAAUAGUAUAUUUAUAACUAAUUAUAUUUAUAUUGAGUAUAGUGCCAAUUAUUUUAAUAAAAUUAAACAAAAAUAUUUUUAUAUCAAAUUAAAGACAUCAAUUAAAUUACUAUUUUUUAAAUAGUGAGAUCAAUUAAAGUUAAAUAUUUUUAUUAUACCAUGUGGUCACAUAUUUUUAGUAAAUAUAAAAUCAAAAUAAUAUAAUAUUUUUAUUUAAAAAAAUUAAAGUUAAAUAUUUUAAAUCAAAUAGCAUAGUUUUAAAUAUAUAAAUUAAAGUUAAAGUUGUAGUUCGUGACUACGGCUUUGACUACUUUUAAAAAUAGUCAAAGUCGUAGUCACCAACUAUGGUUUUAAAUUUAAAGUUAAAACCGUGGUUGGUGACAACGGUUUUGACCGGUUUUUUUUUAAAAUAAAACCGUAGUCACCAACUACAGUUUUAUGAUAUGAAAACCUACGUGGUACAAACGCACUACAUUGGACAUUAUUUUGAAAACCGGUUUACUUUAUGGAUUUUUUUUUAAAUAUUUCAUUUUGGGUCAAAACUCUCUAUCUCAAGAGUGCCUAGACUAUUUAGGCAUAUUUGCAUGAACGUUUCCGUUAGAUGAAUUUUCCAAAUCAAGCAACAAUUACAUGGUCUCUCACAAGGUUCGCUUGAUGUUAAUAACCUAUUAUACUUGACUAAAGAUUCUCUAGGAUGAACUUAAAAACUACCAACCAGUUCCCGUCUACCACUAUGGAAGUAUGAAAGCUUAGAUAGAUUAUCAACAGCAAGAGUACGUGAUGCAAUUUUUAAUGGGUUUGAAUGAAUCUUAUGCUAGCACAAGAGACUAGAUUGUGAUGAUUGAUUUGCUCCCUCGUAUGGCAAAAGUAUUCAAUCUUGUUGUUCAAGAAGAACGUCGGUGGUCUGUUGGAUUUGGGUCCUCAGCUCCAUCGGAUUCCAUGGCGUUUAAUACUAUUAUCUAGCUCCUUCAAUAGUUGUUGCAUCGUCUCACAACAAGCCCAGAUGUGAAUGCCUAAUUUGCACCCAAUGUGGGCUCAAAAGGCAUAGUAGAUAGGUGUUAUAAAUUGCAUGGGUUUCCACCGAGUUAUAAAUCCAAAGGGAAAGCCAAAACACAAAUGGCUCAAACAAGCCCCUUCAAUCCUAAUUUACUCCACCAAGCUCCUUUAUUGAACCAUCCAAAGGCAUUCAUUAUUUUUAUUCUAUUGUUAUGGUGGGAUCUUCCCCACUACCUACCUCUCUCUCGCUAGAUCAAGUUUAACAACUCAUUGCCUACUUAGCACGCACCUUCAAUAACAGACUAUCGACCCACUUGAGUCUCUAUCGGCGUCGAGACCUUCAAUUUCUCAAAUAUGUGGUAACAAUUGUUCUACUUUGUCUUUUUCUCAUCAUUUUGUUCCUUCUAAUGCUUGGAUAAUUGACACAGGGACCACCUACCAUGUCUGUUGCAAUAUUUCUCUGUUUUCUUAUUCCACACUUGUUCAUAAUACCAUUGUCACUCUUCCCAAUGGUCAUGUUGUUGCAAUCAAUCGUGUAGGUUCUAUGAAGUUAUCUAAUACUUUGAGCUUGGAUAAUGUCUUGUUUGUUCCCAUGUUCACUUUCAAUCUUCUCAACAUUAGUGUUUUUACUCUUAGCCAUAAUUGUAGUGUUAAUUUCCUUUUAAAUUCAUGUGUCAUUCAGGACCUCACUUGGGACUUGAUGAUUGGGAAGAGUAGAAUAUGAAACAAUCUCUAUUUUCUAGAAUUAGGGAAUGAAUUUUCUAAUUUUGUAUUUGCAAAUUCUAUAGUGUUGAAAAGAGAUAUUUGGCAUUUUUGCCUUGGACAUCCAUCUCAUGUAAAAAUUCAAUUUCUACACAAUGAAUUACACAUUCCCAGUUUUUUAUCCCAUUUGUCUUCUCACCAUAAAAUUUGUCAUAUGGCCAAGCAAAAAUGUUUGUCUUUUGUUUCACAUAAUAACAUGUAUGCUAAUCCUUUUAAUCUAGUUCACAUUGACAUUUGGGGACCAUUUCAUGUUAGUACACUAGUUGAACAUAGAUAUUUUCUCACUAUUAUUGAUGACUACACACAAACUACAUGGGUAUAUAUUCUUUGUGCUAAAGCUGAUGUUCUCACUAUUUUUUUUUAAAAAAAAUUCAAUUUGAUUUCUACUCAAUAUAACAUUGUAAUUAAAUUUGUUUGUUUUGAUAAUGCCCCUAAAUUAGCUUCCCGUGAUUUUUUUAUUUUAUGUACCAAGGGUGUUAUUCCUUAUCGUUCUUGUGUUGCUAUACCUAAACAAAAUUCAAUUAUAAAGCGUUGAUCGCUCAGAUUUUUGUCGUUUAUUGGAUCAAAAAAAUUUAUAACCUAAUUCACUAUUCUAGAGUAGCUUGUACCUGAUCAAAAAUUGGUUUUAGUACAAACUACUAUAGUAUAGUGGUUUUUAGGUGUUGUCCACUAGGAUGGAUUAUUCUCAGUAAUUAAGGCUUGAAUGAGAGGAUAAGAAAUUAUUGUGAUCAAGUGAAAUUGAUUUGAAAAUUCAUAGUGAAAAAUCAAUUUAACAAUGGUCUAAAAUUGAGAAGAAAAAUGAAAUGUAAAAUAUGAGAAAAUGAAUAUAAAAUGAAAUUCACGGAGUUAAGAUUUUAUAGAAAUCAAUUUCCAUGGUGAAUAGAUGUUGAAAUCUAAUUUUCAUCAAAUUAGAUUGAAAACCUAAAUUUUUAUCUAAACCGAUUAUUGAUUUAGCUUUAGGUCUAAAUAUAAUUUCUCUUCAAAUUAGAUCAUCUAAUCCAAAAGAUCAAUUCAAAUCAUAUAUUCAAUUCAUCUUAAAUUAUCUUCCAAUGAUUCACACAAUGCAACUAUUCAAUCUCAUCAAAUCUAGCAUUAAGAAUUUGAUGAAUCUACCUAGCUUGCAUUGUAGUAAUCAUCCAAGACAAUUUGAAGAGAAAAAUCCUCAAAUUUCAAUUAACAAUCAAUUGGAUCAAAUUACCUUUGCAAUUCAAGCUCAUUUCUCUAAUUCACCAUAGAUUUUGCCUCUAGAUCCUCCCUUCUCCGAGAAAAACGAGAUUUAGCCACUCAUGCUUGGAGAUUUGAUCUCACAAGGCAUGUUUGACUAGUGAGAAAAUGAGAGAAAAAUAAAGGAAAGUAGAAAAUUCUAUAGAAAGAAAAUCUGGAAAGUUCUACAAUUAGAAAAAUGUAAAAAAAAAAGUUUUUAAAUAAGAAAAUCAAGUUUCUAUUUAUAGGCCAAGGUCAAGUGGGCACUUGACAUCAUCUAAGAGGUCUUCUAGAGGCUUCUUCACCAAGAAAUCUGGAAAAAAAAAUGCAAUUUCGCACGAGCUCCAACAAUUUCGUACGAUUGUGCGAAGUGGAAAAUGCACCAGCGCCAAUUUUGCCUUUCUGGAGCAUUUUGCAUAACUGUGCAAAAUUUUCGCAUGGUCAUGCGAAAUCAAUUUUUAGUUUUCUCUUUGAGCUACAACCAAAUUUUUUUUUGGUCCAUUUCGCACGACUGUGUGAAUUUUCCGCAUGUUCAUGCGAAAUGGAAAAACACAGUUUUUCAACUCUUUUUUUUGUCAUUUCUUCCAUUUCUUUCUUUUGAUUCUACUUCAACUACCUCCAAAUCAACUCCAAAUCCCAAUCCAAAUCGAUUGCAUUGCUUCUUUCAUUAUGCAUUUGGAUCAUCAUCAACUUUAUUUGUUCUCUUCAAUUUGAUUCAUCUCUUUUGUCACCAAUUUAUCAAAAUGAUACCUUGAAAUGACUCCAAAACUUCAUAAAACUUGUUAGUAACUCUUGCAAGGGCAACAACAUGUUAAUUGAGUGUUUUAGGCAUAAUUACUACUCAAAAGAUGUGAAACUCAUGAAAAUUAUUAUCUAAAAUAUGCUCUUUUUGAGUAGUAAUCAAGCGUAAACAUUAGCACAUACUUAAUGUGGCAUGAACUCUACUGUUUCAAUCUUGUAUUCCUUUUUGUUAUUGGGGUGAUUGUGUUUUGAAUACUGCUUAUUUAAUCAAUUGUACACCCUCUCCAUUACUAUCCAAUAAAACCUUAUUUGAGUUGUUGAAUAACAACAAACCCACUUACAAUCAUUUUUGCACUUUUGGAUGUUUAUGUUAUGCUUUCACGUUUUCUAACCAACGUACAAAGUUUUCCUCUCAUGCUUGAGCCUUGUUUUUCUUGGUUAUCAUUUUGGUUAUAUGAGUUACAAGUUACUUGACUUAGAAAACAAUAAGGUCUAUAUUUCUCGAAAUGUCAUUUUUCAUGAAUCACUCCUUCUGUUUGCUUAUUUUUCCAUGAGCAAUGACGUUGUUGAUUUGUUUAGUGAUUGUGUCAUUCCCAAGCCAAUUCACUCCAUCUAUGAGCCUUCUUGUAGUCAACUUAGCAUGUCUUUUCCCUAUAGUCCAGAGUCCAUUUCCUCACCAACCCCAAUUCAAACAUGCUCACAUCCACAUCAUGUUGUCACAAAACUAGUUACUUGUUUGAUUAUCACUAUUACCUCACUGAACACAUUUCUUCCAAGCCUUUUUUAUGUCCUAUUUCUUCUUGCUUGAGUUACCACAAGCUUUCCCAGCUAUAUCGUGAAUUUGUUCUCACCAUUAGUUCUCAAACUGAACCAACAUCAUUCUCCUAGGCCAUUGAAUCUCAAGAUGGCGCGAUGCUAUGAAUGUUAAAUUGUAGGCAUGACAAGUCAUUGUAAAAAUUUGACAAAGCACUUAGAAGCAAGGAAAAUCCUUGAAUCCCAUGAUACUUGAGAUUCUACUAAUAUUAUUGAUGAGGAGUUUGGUAAGGAAGGUGAUGUUUUUUAAAUUAUAGUUGAUGAAAAUUUUGCUAACUCUUGGAUUUUGGAUUAUGGAUGUUCCAUUCACAUGUGCCCAUAUAAGGAAUGCUUUGGUACAUACAAGGAAUGUGAUGCUAGUAUUGUUUUCAUGGGUAAUGAUUCAAGCUCUAAAGUAAUUGAGAUUGGUCCCAUAAAAGUGAGGAUGUUUGAUGGUGUUGUAAAGGCAUUGAGUAAUGUUAAGCAUAUUCCUAAGUUGAGAAGAAGUUUAAUUUAUUUAAAGACUUUGGAUAAUUUGGACUAUGAUUUUUCUACAAAGAAUGGUAUUAUGAAGAUCAACAAAGGUACUUUGGUAGCUAUGAAUGGGAAAAAGGUGAAAAUUUUAUACACUUUGAUUGGGAAGACAAUUUUAGGUGAAGCUAUGAAGGUGGAACCAAGCCAUAAAGAGUCUUUUGCGAGUGUUAAAGAAAUUGUCGAAGUAAAUGAACACAACAAAAUGAUCAAGACUCAGUUUUCAAUUAAGAGUACUCAUUGGCACAAAAAUAAGAGUAAUUAUGAAGAAGACAAAGACGGUUUCUCGAGUCAAGUUUGAUGAGAAUUUAAACUUGACACAUGUUUAUUCUCAUUAAUUAUGUAGGAUUGAGAGAAUUUGAGUCAAGGUGGAGUUUCUUGGGAUUAGACUCAAAUUAUUUAUUAUUUAUUUUUAGAAAAGUCAAUAUUUAUAGAGUUUAUGUUUUGGUAAAUUACCUUUUAAAGUUUGAUUACGUUUAGGAAACUAUUGUUUUAGGGUUAACACAUAAAGCUCUAUAAAUAUGUGGUUUUAUAGAGAGGAAAAAAAAUAGAGAAAGAAGAAAAAAAAAGUAAGAAAAGAGUGAAGAGAGAUAGGUAAAGGGUGUAUUGGGUUUUAGAUAGAAAAAGGUUUAUAGAGUUUGAAGUGUGUAAUCUUGAAGGGUAUAAUAAAUUUGAUCUCCAUUUCUCAUGGACAUAGGUGUUUAUAAUGAACCACGUAAAUAGUUUGUCAUUUUAUUCUUCUCUAUUGUGUUUAAGUGUUGUGAUUUUUCCCAACAAGUGGUAUAAAAUUUUUUUGCAUCUCAACACGACUAAUGAGGUCUUAACUUAUAUAUAGGACCACCAAUAGGUCCCUCCCCAUGGUAUAAAGAAAGGUAAGAAAGUUUGCUAUCAAAGUAAGCAUUUUCAAAAUAUUCAUCAAAGUGAUGUGUCCAUGCCACAUCAACAUCUACACAUUAUUAUUUUUAUUUUCUAUAUGACAAAACCACAGUUGUUAACUGUGGUUUUAAAGUCAACAAUUGUGGUUUUAUUAUGAAAAAAAAACAUUAAAAUAAAAGUUGAUAUGAUUAGAAGAUUAGUUUUUGGUAAAUAUUUUGAAAAGUAAUCUAGAUGUGAAUUUUUAUUUUAAUUUUUUGAAAAAUAAAAAGAAUUAAUUUUCCAACAAACUUAAGGGAAGAAGAUAUUGAAAAGAGUUUAAGUGUGUAUGGCUAAUAAGUGAUCAUAACUCAAAAUGUAAGGUAAAUAGAAAAAAGAUUCAUGAAACGAUGGUGAUCCAUCCUUUAUCCUUUGACCAUAACUUCAAACAUAGUGUUCUAAGUUGACCCACAAUAUUUUUCUUUUAGAACUAGUCUCACCUGAAUCCGUUGAUCGUAUUGAGACUCUCAAACCACUCUCUUAAUUAUAUGAAAAUCUAUCUAAACCCUUUGCAAUGACCAAAUAUUUGACACUCAUUGCACUCAACCAUCUCAAACAAUUUCCAUGGAAUCUAAGUCACCUCUCAUUUUACAGGCUUUACGUUUGGUUCAAUCUUCUCAAUCUAACUUGACUAGACUAACAAGUUAGGGAGUACCAUACAUAGCUUAAAUAAAUAGAUUUUAGGGCUAUAAAAUGGACAAUAAGGUGAGUUGUAUUGUGAGGCUCAAAUGGACAAUAUGUAGGACUAUGUGACAACAAAAAGGUAGGUGGUAUUGUACCAAAUAAGCCAAAAGACUAUGAAACAACAAGACAAAAUUAUAAUAGGUAGAUAGGUUGUAGGGCUAUAAAGUCAAGGAAAAAUCAUGAUAGAUGGGCAAAGCUUUACUUUUUGGGAAAAUCAUGCAACCAUACAUCACCCAAAAAAAUUAAGCUUUUUAGAACUUUGCUUUUACCUUUCCAAUUUUAAUGUAAAAUGGAAAAAAAAAAAAUAUUAUCCAUUCAUGCACUCCAAUAGUGCUUUCAUAUUUGUUCCAAAAUUAUCAUCAUUGACAAGUACAUCAAUCACUUUUAUAUUUAUUUUUUUAUUUAUCUUAUAUCAACUCUCUCACACAUCUAAUUUGCCAUGUUUCUACAUUUUUUCUUUCUUUUUUCCUCUCUUUUACCAUCGUAUCUAUUGUCACCUAUUAUAUUUUUUAUUGUUAUUUUUCUAUCUUUUCUUUGACUCUUUUUUUAUAUGCUCAUGUAUUCUCUCAUAAAACUUCUUUAAUUUUAUUUUUUUUCACUCUCUAAUCUCUCCAUAUUUAUUGAUUUUAAUUAUUUUUUAGACAUAUUAAGCUUUAAAUGAUAAUAUAUAAUAAAUAAUUAAUAUAACAAAUUAAAUAAAAACAUAAAUAUAUAAUGGAUAAAAAUGAAAAUAUUAUCCCACAAAUAAUAUACUUGAUGCUUUUAAAUAUUAAUUAUAAUAAUACAUUUGUAAAUUAAGGUUUAAAUUUUAAAAUUCUAUUUUAUUAUUUAGAGGUUUAUGAUAUAAGAUUUUUUAUAUUAAUGCUAAACAAACGAUUUAUUUAUUUUGUAAAUACUCUCACAUGUGAAAGUAAAAAUAUCUUUGUACUACUAUUUAUUAUUUUUAUUAUUUUUAUUUUUAUUUUAAAUUUAUCAUAUCAAAAUCAGUGAUGGUGUUUUUAUCUUUUUUUUUUUCUUAUGGUUUUAACUUGAUCAUGAAUUUAAUUUUUGUUUGGUUGAAAUCUUUAAUUUUUAAAUUAAAAGAAAAUAUAUUUUUUCAUAAAAAAAUGUAUUUAACCUUUUAUAUUAAUUUCAUAAAAAUAGGUAUGUCAUUAAGAAAAAUAGCUAUAUUCAUUCCUAAAGAAAUCAAGACUCUAUUUCCCUUAUCAUGGUCCAUAUAUUCCUUUAAGGACUCUUGGUAAGUGACUGGAAGUCCUCCCUCACCCUAAAACAAACUUUGAAACCCUAAGUACAUUCAUUCCUAGGGGAAUUGAGACCCAUAUAUCCAUUAUCAUGGUCCAUAUAUUCCUUUGGGGACCCUUUGGAAGUGAUUGGAAGUCGUUCCUCACCCUAGAAUGGAUUUUGGAACCUUAAGUACAUCAUUAAGAAAAUUUGGUACAUCCAAUCUUUAGGUUAUCAGGACCCUUAUUUCCCUAUCCAUGGUUCAUUUGUUCCUUUAGGGACCUUCAGAAAGUGAUUAGAGGUCCUUCCCCAGCCUAGAAUAGACUUUGGAAUCCUAGGUAUAUCUUUAAGAAAAUUUGGUACAUCCAAUCCUCGGACUAUUGAAACCCUUAUAUCUCUUCCCAUGGUCCAUUUGAUCAUUUGGGGACCCUCGAAAAGUGAUUGGAGGUCAUUCCCCACCCCAGAACGAACAAUGGAACACUAGGUACAUCCUUAAGAAAAUUUAGUACAUCCAAUCAUGUACAUAUUGUUUGCUUUAGGCCUAAAGGACCCUCAUACCUUUAAAACAUGUUUACUUGGUUAAAAAGGAGCUCAUAUUUAUAUAUUCCUAAGAACUUUUUUCCCAAUCUAAUGUGGGACAUCACAAUCACCCCUAUGCAAACACAAUGCUCUUGUUGUGUCUCAUGGGAUUAUGGGGUUAAACAGAUAAACACCCCUCAUGGGGCUAAACAAACCCUCCACAUCGAGGUUAAGGAUUAGAUUUGAUACCAUUUGUAAUGAUCUAUUCCUAACCAUGUAGAUAUUGUCCAGUUUGGGCUUAAACCCUUAUAGCUUUAAAAUGUGUUUAGAUGGUUAGAAGGAGUCCAUACUUAUAUAGCUCUAUGAACUUUUUCCCCUAUUCAAUUUGGGAUAUUGCAAUAUUCAAAGUCAUUUUCAUCAAUUUAUUGAUGAUAUAUCAAUAUUUAGCUGAUUUAAAUUGAAUUUUUGGUGAUUUUUUAGCCACGUCAUUGAAUUUUAGGGAUGUUUAUGUAUUUUAAAAGGACUUAACUUAAUUUAGAGAUAUUUAUGUAUUUUGAAAAUUCAAAAUGAUUUGUUUUGAUUUUAGGGAUAUUUAUGUGUUUUGAAAAUUUAAAAAGACCUAUCUUUAUUUUUAAGGAUAUUUAUGUAUUAAAAAAAUUAUAAGUGAGAUAUUUUUGGUCCUUUAACCACCCACUAUCUUUAUAUUGUUAUGUUUUCUCUGUGUUGUCGAAAACUGAAAAGCUAAAAUAUAAAGUAAAAAAAUGAUUUCUAAAGAACUUUGAUUUGAAGAAGAGUUAGAAAGAAAAAUGUUUUAGUAUUUGCUUCGCUCCGCAAUUUAAAGGUGUGAAUUGAUUUUUUCAAGAAUUUGAGUGACUUCUUCGAGGUAAGGGUUAAUAGUACAAUAAUUCAUUUUAUUAUUCCCUAUCUAUUUUUCAUCUAUUUUUGGAAGUAUCAAGAUGUUUAAAUUCCAUAAAGUUGAUCAAGUAAUAUUUUUCUAAAAUAUGUUUUGAUGUGUUUCUUAGUUUAUAAAAUAAAUUGGGAAUAUCAUAUGAUUUGUUUGAUUAUUAUGAAAGUAAAUUUUACUUUUUUAAUUGACUAAAAUGAUUUUGGAAACUCUAGAUAUCAAUUGUCCUAAUUAGAGGAUAAGUUGUUGAUUUCAUUACCCUUGGUGGGGAUAGGAUGCUUUGUAAUCCUAGUCAAUAAGAGUGUUAUUGGCCUUUCGUAUACCAUUGAUUAGAAAUUGUUCUGUCCACUAGUAAAAGGAACAUUUUGAGGUUAAUCACCUAGUGCAAGUCCCAAUUUUAGGGCACAAUAUUAGUAGAUUAAAGUAAAAUGUUUGUUUUUGAAAUUCUUUUGAAUAUGAAUUGAUUAUGCAAAGUGUAUUAUUUGUUCUAUCUUUAAAGUAAAAGUGUUGAAUUUUUGAGAAAGUGAAUUAAAUUAUUGAAUUAAAUGAGUUUGCUUGCUAAUUGAAUUUUAUAAAGAUAUGAUAUCUCCUAUGAUUUAAAUUUUGUACUAUACUUGAACCUCCUUAUUGAAGUAUUUUUCCUUAUUGUGUUGUCGAAUUCAUUGUUCUUUAUUAUUUCACUUUUCAGGAUUAAGUAAUAUCAAUGAGGAGAGAUCAUGAUAGAAAGAGUGUUUUGUUUAUAAACUUCUUUAAACUCGAUUUUAUUUAGGAAUUAACUUGAGACUCUUUUCAAUUAUGUCUUUUUAAUUUUUUUUUUUCAAGUGUUUGAAAGAAUCAUGAAAUUUAUUGUUUAAAUAUAUUGAAAUAGUUUUUGUUUCGUUUUAAUACACGUCCGGGUUUGGGGUGUCACACUUCUACUCCGAGAAAGUAAUGUGAUUAACUAAAGAUGGCGGUGCCACUACUUUUUUUAUUACAAUCAUUUCUCUGGGACGAAGACACUUUUACUCUCUUUUGUCAAUAGGGACCAUAGAUAUACUUGAGACUCGCAUGAAUAAAUAUCUAUAGGAUGAGAAAAACCGAAUUAACUGUCCCUUAGGAACCUGGAUGGAGUAGAAUUACCCCAUGCAUGUAUAGAAUCAAAUUUGCAUGGGGAUAAUUCAAAGAUAAAAAAACUCUGGCUGCGGUUGUGAGGGCCGCAGAUGAUCGAGGAACUCUGGGAUGAAUUUUCAAAUGUAACUAAUGAGUUUUAUUUAGAGCCCACUUUAGAGUAAUUGUUUUCGUGUUUGAUAAACUUUUUAAAAAGCUAGUAAACACUCGAAGGCAUCCCUAGAUAAUUGAUGAUUUUUCUAAAAAUUACUUAUCGCUAUACUACAAAUUACAAAAAAAGACUAGUAAAGCACAUUCAAGGAUGAAAAUAUCGUGAUAUAUAUAGCCAAUCGUGUAUCGGAGAAGGUGAAUACGAUAUAUAGGUAAGAUAUGUCGUAUGAUAAAAAUAUCGAUAAAUAUUAGCGAUAUAUCGGUAAUCACAGAUAUAUCGACUAUACAAAUAAAAUAUCGGUCCUAAAAGGGAAAAAAUCACUGAAAUUUCAAAGAUAUAUCGGAGAUAUAUCAGUGAAAUAUGUAAACAAAUUAAAUUAUUAUAAAUAAGUUAAAUUUAAUUAUCUUAUAAUUUUUUUUGUAUACUAAUUAAAUAUAAAAAAAAAUAUAAAAUCAUAAAUAAAAUUAUCAAUAUAUUUAAAUAAAAAUAUUUUGUGUCAAAAUGUACCAAUAUUUUUAAAUAAAAAUCAUAAAUACAUUUAAAUCACAUAAUUAGUACAUUUGCAAUAAUUUAGUUUUAAAUUAAUUAUUUUAUUUUAUUUUGAUAUUUAAGUGUAAUAAUAGCAUAUUGAGAAUAAAUUGACUUAGUACAUUUUUAAAUUAAUAUAGUAUUGAAUUUAAAUUAGUACAUUUUUAUAAUUAAUUAAUGUGUUUUCAAUAGAUAUAAGUAAAUUAAUUUAGCAUAGUAAUAUAUUUGAAUCACAUAAUUAGUAUAUUUGUAAUAAUUUAACUUCAUAUAUAUGAGCCAAUGAGAGAUAAAAGUUGUGAGCACUUUUGAUAAAAGCAAAUUUUGCGGGUACUAUAGAACAAUGGAGGAGAAGCAUUUAUCUUUUUGAAUGUUUUGAUUAUGAUUUCUGGAAUUUUGAUGUGUUCAUUAAUCUUGCUUCUUUCUUACCAUAGAGUUAUUUUUGCAAUUGUCCAGUUCUUUGUCCUAUUGUGGUUAAAACAAUUAUGGCGAGAAUUUAAGGUUCUAUUAGACAACAAAGGCUUUAAGGGAUCUUAAUGUUAUUCUAGCUCUUUCUCUUGUCUGCUCUGCUUGUUUAUUUCUCAAAGAAAGGGAUGAAGAAUCUUUUUGUGAACUUUAAAAAGCCUUGUAUCCAUCUCAUUGAUGAGUUUUUUGUUUACUGUGUAACCAGAUCAAUCUAGGCGAUACAUUAAUUGUUUUUGAUGAUUUAUCAUCUCAUAUCCAGAAAUGUAAGGCUGUAGCAGAUGUGUAUAUAGUUGCUCACUUGGUUUUCUGUCUUCAGGCGGCUUACACUGUUGGGGGGCAUUCUUUCAGUGCAGCUGCUAUUGAGUAUGUGAUUCUGAAGAUGAAACCACCUGUCCAUCGGCCACAAAUUGUAUGGAGUUACUUUUAUGGCCUCUAAUGAGUUGCUCUUGUGUGUUUCUUCUUCUCUUUCACUUUGUUACCUAAUCAUUAACUUUUCACGUAUGGAAUAUUAUCAGGCUUUGCUACUUGCCCUUCACAAACUGAAGGUGUCAGAGGAGCUACGGAAGUCUGGAAUUGAUGCAUGUGAACCUCUUGUAGCUUUCGCUUUCAGCUGUGGUAUGUAUUCGUCACCAGCAGUAAGUUUUUUUUUUUUGAUACUUUUCCACUAUUCAUUGAAGCUUAAUCUUGUUCCAUGAGUCAACUUGAAUUCUAAAUAUAUUUUUGUGCAGAUAAGGAUCUACACAGCAAAGAAAGUGAGGGAGGAGCUUCAGGAAGCUCAGCGCGAUUUUAUUGGGGCCUCAGUGGGGUUGAGCAGCAAAGGGAGGUUAUUGGUGCCAAAGAUGCUGCACUGCUUUGCUAAAGGCUUUGUGGACGAUGCAAAACUGGCAUUACCUUCCCCUCACCAGGCUGCCUUUGUUGAGCAGUGCAUUUCACAGAGGCGACAAAGCCUUCUUUGUUCACGCAACUGUGGGAUUCUUCCCUUCGAUUCUCACUUCUGUUACUUGUUCCUGCCUGGCCAACUUUCACUCUAAUGGUGCUUGUUUUAUACUAAAUAUGCAGCCUUAGGCCAAUUUCCACCUUGGAAAUGACUUGAGGAUGGUGGCAGUUUUGGUGUUUUUGC
rnacentral:lncRNA from 1 species